GCACGGCCUGUCGGAAUAAAAUCGUUGCCCUAAAAUUUAUACCAUUUACCACCCCUUACGCUCAGGCGUCCGACGCGUAAACCAGCGUUCGGACGCUCUGAAGAAGGCCACGUGACGGUCCCUUGUCCACGCGUCUGCUCCCCCACCUCUUGCAGCCACAGCACGAAGGGCCAUUCCUUCCAUUUAGCACAGCUUGUCUUUGACCUCUUUCGUGCUGCUCCUCAUCGAGCUCGAGCAGAUGAGCCCGGAUCGGCGGAGGCGCUUCUCGCACGGGAGCCCGCUCCUCGUUGAGCUCGAGCGGAUGGGAUAGAAGUUGAGAAUCCGGUGGAGCCACGCUCGGCGGAGGCGAGGUGAGCGGGGUGAUGCCGGAGCACCGCCGGCGACGAGACGUGCGGCAGCAUGUGUCGAGCUUCGACAGUGGCGCGGUUUCUCAUGGUGGAGCUCGACCAAGUGGGCGUCGCGACGCGGAGGCAGCAUGCGGCGUACUCCAGAUCCGAGGAAAACCAAGCAUCAACACCUCGAUGCUACGCCCAUUCAUGCCACCAUGAGUCGCACAAGGAGAUGAUUGCCGCCAUGCUUGCCGGCCGAAGAGGAGGUCAAGGGGAAGGGGGAAGGUGGAGGAGGACGCGAUGAUAGCAGGAGGACACAGGCGGCGGCGGUUUCUUGCCAGCGACAUGCGACGCCAUUAGCAGCUUUGAUGCCUUGUGCAUGUUGCAGAAGCAUUUGUACGGACGUUGCACAGCAGUUAUUUGGAUGGUACAUGUAUUUUUAGCAGAUGCUGCAAUGCUUUCAAAAAAUUGUUUCACAACUUGCUCUGAUUUGUUGCAUACAUUUUGGUUGGAUGUUGCAGUGAUCGGAUAAUUUGUUCAGGUAGUUAUUUCGAUCUGUUUUAACAAAUCUACUAAUUUGUUGCAGUAGGAAUUCUUACAUGUUACCAUACAUCAGACUAUAUGUGGUAUUCGAUGACCUUGAUGUUGCAUGCAGGGUUGAUUCGAGUUGUUUCAUCUACUUAUUUCGAUGUUGCAGCAACUGAUUUUGAUGUUGUGCUUAGUGAUCAGAGAUGUUGCAAGUUGAUCUGCUUCGUCUCAUAUUUUUGUUUUGAUUUUGGUGUUGGGAACCGGAACGUCCGCUGCCCAUCUGCACGACUGCACGGGGCCUCUCUGCUGCCCGGCGUACAGUAUUUGAUCUAAUAAGAAUUGGGGUGAAAGAUGAUUCAGAAAAGAAUUGAGGUGAAAGAUGAAUCAGAAACUAAGAACGGAUGGUGAAUGGUGCGUCCGAUGCUAGGCUCGGACUUAGGACGUCCGGGCGCUAGUUCCUACGCAACCCGGCCAUAACGUACGUUCUAGCAUUGUAGCCGACGACGAGCGAGGCAAGCAGGAAGCAGCUAUACGUAAUAAAAACGCGUGAUAAAUUAACAUUUACUUGCUCCGUUCCAAAUUAUUAAUUAUUUUAACCUUUUUCAAUAUAUACUCCUUCCGUUAUAAAAUAUAGCUAUUUCAAGCAUUUGAAUUUUAUCUUCCAAGUAAAUUUUUGUAUACCAUGUCUAAAAUGCCCUACUAGCAUGCAAAUUAAUUAUGGUACGCGGAUCUACAUGCAAGCUAAAUAGGAAACUUAUAAUUAUUCUCUUAAUUAGUACAUGGUAGCUUUUAGAAAAAGGUAAUACAGACUUUUACUCUCCAUCCAUAAUCUGUCUGAAAAACUUUAGAAAUAGCUAUAUUCACUACUAGAAAACAUGCUAAAGAUCCGCCUCAAAAGUACCAGCAUGAAAAUGACCCGAUAAUAAUUCUAGCAUUAGUAUCGGAUCAUCUUCGUACCGGUACUUUUGAGGUGGAUGGAAAGGUGCAGGACCUUAAAUACCGGUACCUAAGGAUAGACAUCGGUACCGGGUGGUGGCAACACCCGGUACCUAAGAGUCCUCCACGGGUUACUUUCAAAUAGUAUCAGGUCAUCUUCAUGCCAGUACUUUUGAGGUGAGAUGGUAAGCGAGGUACACGCGAGACAAAGAGGUUGCGGGUUCAAAUUCCAGCCGCCGCAUGCGCGCGUAUCUCGCGUGAAAAAAUCAUGUGUGGCGGGCCUCUUCCCGGUUUAAUAUUUUUUUUGAUAAAAAUACUUAUGUACCGGGUGGAAUCUUCAUCCGGUACUAUAAGAUCUUUUUCUAGUAGUGAUUAUGGGAUAGAGGGAGUAAAUUUUACUGUACACCUAGACAUAACAUAUAUCUAGAUAUAUAGUAAAAUUUAUAUAUGUAUUUAGAAAGCUAAAGAAAAUAACUAAUAAUUUGGGACAGAUGAAACAGCUGUUAGUACUAUCUAUCUAUCACUAUCACUAUAAGCAGUAGUCUCUCAGCCCCAUGCGUACAUCGAUAUGUAUGAUGGCGCGUGCCUAAUUGUUGCCGCGUUCAAUGUCGCUUUUUUCACCCUGCUGCAUCGCUUCAGAUCGAGUGAUUAUAUCUCACUUGUUGGCACCCGGCCAUGCCAAUAGUAUGGACGUCAUGAAUAUUAUAUUGUUGUCAGCUGCUUCAUCAAUCACUAUAGUUUAUUGUAACUUUGUCCUAAUUAAAUCUCGCUCAUCCCGACACCUCAAUAAUUUUACUACGAUUACCGUAAAGUGAUUACUGUCUAGUGCUAUUUACUUUGUCUUGAUCAAGUCACCAUAAACUUCGCACAAACUGAAUCAUAAAAACGAGCUGAAGACUCUAAAGGAGUAAAGAAAUAGGGAAAAAUUCGAUUUACACACUUAAAUUAUCGUAGAAAUUCGAUUUCAACUGCAAAACCGGAUAACAUAGCCUAUUCAACUGUCGAAACCGAACAAAUUUAGCCCUAGAGUGGUUUCGAAUGUGGUUUUGUAUUUUUAAAAAAAUAAAAAAGUUUAAUUAGAUUAAAAAAUCAAAACUAACUUAUUUUAAAUCAGAAAAAUAUGAAACUAGUACCAAAUUUUUCUAAAAAUGUAACCUAUCUAUUAUAACUCUAUUUUAAUCUUAUUUAUUUUAAAAUAAUAGGCGUAACUACAAGCAUCCAAAUAUAUGAAUAUGAAAAAAUUGGAUAAAAAAAUGACAAAUAUAGUGCCAAUAGAUAUUAGAAAACUUUUGAUACCCAUUUCAUAUAUUUUUAUUUAAAACAAAUUUAUUAUGAAUUUUUUAGUUUAAAUUUGAAUAUUUUUAAUUUUUAUAAAAUGGAAAACCAUCUAAAGGGUUAAAUUCAUCCGGUUUUGAUAGUUGGAUGGCCUAUAUUAUCCGGUUUUAUAGUUGAAUGUUGAAAAUCAGCCUUUUAUGGUAGUUCGAGGGCAGAGGCGGAGCUAGGAUUUCGACUUAGGGGGGAUGGGGCAAGUGAAGACGUCUUAGCAUAUGUGACUAUCGUUCAUGAUCUGGCAAAGAAGAGUCUAGCAUAGCAGUAUUUGAUGGAUGAGAAACGAAAGGUUGUGGGAGAGGCUACAGCUCACAAACUGAGCCCACUAGAAAGCAUUGAGUAAUUGGAUCUUCACUAGAUUUUUUUCCCUUCACUGAAAAUUGCUAGAUAUUUGCUGCAAAUUUGCAAUCUUGGGAGGGGCCAUGGCCCCUGCUAGCCACCCCUAGCUCCGCCAGUGUUCGAAUGUGUAAAUUGGACAUUUUUUUAAAGAAAACUAGUGGAGAUGCACGUGCCACGGGCACGUGUUUAAAAUUUUUUCAGCAUCUAUUGGGAACCUCACAAGAUACAGCCAAGUAAAAGAAAUUACAAAUGCACCUUAUAUAUAAAAUCUUAUUAAUACACAAUAAAAUUUUAUAAAAUAAUAUAUAGGACUAAUCCAAUAAUGGACAUGUCGCAUAUCAAGAUCAAGGCACACAAGUAUGUUUAGUUGUGUACACCAUAUAUUUAUUCAAUCAUCACGAAUUCUACUAUCUAAAAAUAUUUUGAUAAGCCAUUAACACUCACAAUCUUCAAGUCCGUGACCUGCCCACUUUCAGGUUAUGAAGGGAAGGCUCUCGUUGAGAACAAAAGAUGUAGUUUCUUUCCAUGUGGGUGCUGGCUAGUUGUAGUUGUUGGCGUGCCUUUCCUUUCAUCUUGAAUAUGUGAGUGCAUAAAUACAUAUUAUUACACAUCAUGAUUAUAUAAAGCUGAAGCACAAACAUACCUCAGGAUUUCAAGACAUCUCUAUAUACAAUAUUCUAUUCUUCGUACUCUUUCCAGUAGGAUCGAUGUUCAUAUUUCUCUUUGCAAGAACCCACGUACUCUCAUGAGAAACACAUCUGGACAGCACCACGCAUAGCUGUUCGUGUAAAAAUACAGGGUCGGGGAGGUAAAUACCUACAUUAGGUAUGGUCUGACCGUGCGCUUUGUUAAUUGUCGUAGCGAAACUCAACCGGAUGAGAAACUGCUUCCUCUUAAACUUGAACUGAAAAAUGAGAUCUUCAGAAGAAGAUAUUAGAAUCCUUGGAAUGAACACCCUCUUAUCUGCAUGCUGCCCAUUAACAAUCUCAGCAUCAAUUGUAUUAUUUUAAAAUCCCCAUACCACCAGCCGAGUGCCAUUGCAUAGGCCAUCAUGAAGAUCGAGAUUACAAAGCAAUAUAACAGGACAAUUCUUCUUAACCUUCAACUUAUAAGGGGGCAGCCCAUUAGGAGUAAUCGAAUUGAGAAAAUCAAGAGGAUAAUUAUUACGUGAGUCAUUAUCGAUAGAGUCAAAACUGUAGAAAACCUUAUGCUUCCCUGGAAAUCUAUCAAUCAUAAGUGUAUUCACCGCAUCAACAUGUUUAUUCCUGGUGGAGAGUAUCGCACGCUCGCGCAUAUAAGUGGCAGAAUUGCAAUUAGCAACAAGAUCCGGGAACACACGAUCAGUAAGAAUGUUAAUGGAAUCAUCCUCAGGAGGGUUCUGAAUCAAAAUGUCAUUAGGAAGCCGCACGUAGUCACCAUUGAAAGGACUCAAGAUGCCUAGAGGGGGGUGAAUAGGCUAAUCUAAAACUUAAAACACUUUGAAAACUGUCAGUAACACAGAUGUCCGGAUAUUCCGGAUAUAUAUUCGGAUACUCCGAACUUUGUGUCCGGAGUUUCUGGAGAUAUUGUCCAGAGAGUACGGGUAUGAAACAAUCUACACAAAAAUAAAGAUAAUGAUGCUGUAAUUUAGAUCGAGUAAAUUUAGAAGAGCUAGUGGUACCUUUGGAGUGUUUCUCACCAGUUGUCUUACUCUAGAAACUUGUAUAAUAGUAGAUCGAUCACAAACCCCAAAAUAUUAGUCUCACAAGCAAAUAACUAAUAGUUCAAGGUAAGGUGACACGGAGAGACAAGAAUUUGUUUCCUGAGGUUCACUCCCAAAGGAGCUAUGUCUCCGUUGAGAAAGAAUUCAAGAGACGGUGCUCAAGAACUCUUAUGCUCCUUCUCAAGGGCGAGACUGACGCUCAAAUCCAAGGUCACUUACUAUAAAAUCCUCUAAGAGGAUGGCGAGUACAAACUUCUUGUGGAGCUCACAAUACGCCUGAGCACUCAUAAGCACGCCUAGCCGUCUAGGAGCACUUAGCUCCAAGAGUAAAAAACUUCAAUCACUGGCUUAACAAGGAUCUGGUGCUCAAGAGAUUUGAAUGGCAGCUCACAAAGCACAAAUCUCUCCUCUUGCAACACUCACACUUGAAUCCCCAAUGGAAAACACUCAAAGAUGGAAGGAGGGGUGUGAGAUAGCUUUUUCAAGGUGUUUCAAACUAUGCAACAUGAAAAUGAGCAAGGGAACUGACUGUUGAGGGUAUAGGGGGGUAUUUAUACCCCCACUCCAAAAACUAGCCGUUGGAGUAAGAGGUGCUCGGAAACUCUGGGCAAAUAUCCGGAUACUCCGGACACUCCGGACUCAGAGAAAACUUCUGACGGUGAACAGAUACCCGAAGACUCCUCGUAUAUGUCCGGAUACUCCGGACUUUGUUUCUGGACAUUCCGGACCCGGAGUCUCCGGACUCACUAGGGACACUCUCAAGAAUAUCAUUUUAAAGUGGUUUUUGUGGCUGACAAGUAUUUGUAUGGGUUUUCUUGAGCACUUGUUCUAAGUCAAAACCUGCAGAUCAAAGUUCCUCUUGAUAGUACGUCUCAGACCCGGGACUACAAGACUGUGUACAUAACGUAGUCCAUACAGGAAUAGGGGAUAGGACAUGUCCUAUACCUUAUCUAUGUUGUACUCUACUCGCAUGCGAAGUAGAACUAAAUGAUACAGAAGGAAGCUACUCGAGUUGUACUCGAGUACGAUUCCUAGGCUUGUGUUGGACUAGGAUUCAUGUAACCCUGUCCUCCCGGAUAUAUAAGGGCGGGCAGGGACCCCCUCAAAACACAUCAACAUCCAAGGCAAUACAAACCACUAUACAGGACGUAAGGUAUUAUGCACAUCGCGGCCCGAACCGGUCUAAACCUUGUGUUGCUUGCACCUUUGAGUUCCUGAUCUCGGCGUCACCCUACCUAAAACUUACCACCUCGGGUAUACCCCUCGAUGGGCAGGCGGUAAAACACCGACAGCUGGCGCGCCUAGUAGGGGUGCGCAUCGAAGAUCCAUCGGCGAACUCGAUGGCAUCGUUCAAGUUUACCAGUGUUGUGCCCCCCAGGGCACGACGUUCGUUUUCGGCUCGUGGGUCUGCGUCGCAGACGGCGCGGGCGAUUUUCGUCGAUUCACCAUCGAUGUCAUGAAGCCGAAGUCUCUUGCAGCAAGUUUUCAUAGCGAGCUCGACGAGUUCGUUGACAAUCUCGACGACUUGUCGACCCAUAGCUCCGCCAGGAAGACCGAGGAGGAGUCCAUUUUCAACGCGACUCCGCCCCGCGCUGCAACAACCAUGCUCGGAUCGGACUCGUUCCAAUCUGAGGACUUGCGUAGCCGAUCACGACUCGGUCUACGCAAUUCGGCCACUGAACUUCAGGAGGCCAACAAUUCUGAGUCCCUCUCCGCAUUGGAAAAGGACUUGGACUAGUUACUCCAAAUCGAAAACCCGAAGCCACCACACGUCGGGGGGCUGCGGGUUGCCUUGGUGACAAUGGUCUGAUGAUCACCUCCACUCCAGAAGGCCAUUUUGUGCAUUGGAAAGGCAUGAAACUCUCCAACCUACUCGAAGAAGAAGACCAACUCGUGGCACAUCUCGAGCCCUUGCCUUUUCAGGAGGGCAAGCCAUUAGCCACCAUGGCAGAAGAAUCGACCGAGCUAGUCGAAGCGAGCUCCGACGAGCUCAUAUCACGCCAAGUGCUGAUGGUGGAAGAAGGCGAGGACGAUGGCAUCUCACCCAACGAAGCACUUGACAUGAUAUCCGAAGAUGAGGCCACAGCCAAUGCCGGUGAUAAAAACGACAUUGAGCGUGAGGCACGAAGGGCUAGGAACAGAGCCCGCACAGUCCGGCGAAGGAGGGUCAACGAGCGCAUGCGAUCUAUGCAUCGUGAGCUAGACGCCGAAUUCGCCGCCGUGAGCGAGCGGGGCUUCAGAACCCCCGUGGCUAACAUCGCCAGGGUAAUUGCCAUACUCGAACGCAGCAACGACCCAAACCUACGCCAAGCGCUUCGCUACGCGCAGAGGGCAUGGAUUAAGCUCGAUCAACAAAACCCGGCGUCCGCCGUCGGAGAAGAACACGUGGGCGAAAGCCGCAGCCAGCCUAACAGUUGAACGGCAGGCGGCCGCCCUCGACCUCAGCGGAGCAAUGACAACGACAACGCUCACGGGAGUCAGGCCACUGGCGGGAGGCAACAGCCACCUCCAGGAGGCAACCCGCGAUAGCCCAAUCAUCGGAAUCCUCCAGAAGACCUGCGCUAGAGAAUCAAUGAAGGACGUGAUGCACGAUCCAUAAUUGAUUCCACACGCAGAGAGCAUGAAGUAGCCGAUCCAGAGGGUACCGACUGCAGUGAUCACUUUCCCGCGUUCACAGCACGGUUCAGCAAUUACAAGUACCCUGAGAGCUUCAAGCCGAUUGGGAUCACCAAGUAUGAUGGCAAACAAGCUCCUCAGCAAUGGCUAUGAUGUUAUUCCACCGUCAUAGAAGUUGCAGGAGGCUCCAACAUCACCAAGGUCGUCUACUUCCCGAUGGCUUUAGACCCUGCGCCGCUCACAUGGCUGGAGAGCCUCAGCAACAACUCGAUCGACUCUUGGGAGCGGCUCAAGAAAGUCUUCAUCGACAACUUCCAGGGGGCGAUCGCUCGCGCAGGUACUUGUCAUGACCUUGCUCAGUGUAAACAGGAACGCAACGAGCUCCUACGAUCAUACAUACGUCGUUUCUUCGACGUGCGAGCCACCAUUGUGAACUCCUCGGAAGAGGACAUCAUCGACUGCUUCUACAAUGGCCUCACCGAACCAGGCAUCUAUAGAGACUUUGGGCGGAACAGACCAAAAACUGUUGCAGGACUUCGUGACAUGAUGCACGACUGGUCUGAGCAAGAGGAAAAGAUGUGUGAGUGGUUUCUGAGGCGCAUUGACAACAACCCGAGGCGCACAAACGACAACUGUACCGACAAGAGCCAGUGGGACUACUCGGGUUCAUCCCGAAAGCGCAAGCCAGACGACCUCGUCGCGGCUGUGGAUCGUUCUUCAUGAGGCAGGAAGACAACAACGCAGGAGGAGUUUGAAAAGCUCCUGCAGAAGAAAUGCCCAUGGCAUCCAGGUGCCAAUCAUGCGGCAAUUGAUUGCUACCACCUCCGGAGGACAUUCAGCAAUCCCAGCAAUACGAAGAAGAACUAGUCAGCGGACAAAGAACCUGAAGAGGAUGACCAAGGGGACAAAUCGCACAACGUGAAGUUCCAAGAUGCCUCGAAAACUAUCAACGUCAUCUUCGGAGGUGAUGAAGAAUUCAGUUCCAGGAGGGAACAGAAACUGCUCCUCCGAGAAAUUAUGUCUGUCGAGCCGGUGGUACCACAGCCACUCCAAUGGUCGGAGGUCCCCAUCUCGUUCUCACGAGACGAUCAAUGGACCAGCUUCUCGGAGCCCGGCAAAUUCCCACUGGUCCUGGACCCGGUUGUGGUAGAGGUCAAGCUCACCAGAGUACCCAUCGACGGCGGAAGUGGUCUCAACCUCAUCUUCGCCAGCACGUUGAGGAAGAUAGGCUUGGACUUAACGGACAUGCUCGUCCCAAGCAAGUCUCCCUUCUACGGCAUUAACCUAGGCAACACAGCGCAUCCACUUGGCACGGUGGCCCUUCCAGUCACCUUCGGCACGAGGGAGAACUACCGUACAGAGUUCAUCAAAUUUGAAGUUACCAACUUCGAAUCUUCAUAUCAUGCCAUACUGGGCAGGCCGGCACUGGCCAAAUUCAUGGCAGUGCCGUAUUAUGUUUAUUUACUUCUCAAGAUGCCAAGACGAAGUGGGGUACUCACUCUCCGAGGCGACUUGAAGAAGUCGUAUGACUGCAACAAGGAGGCCAUCCAGUACGCUUCGACUACGCGUGUGCCAAAUGCUUCAGGAGAAGCACUCGCGGCCGCGCAACAACUCUCCCAACCCGGGCUGGAAAUCCAACAAGGAAGGCCAACAAGUCGAGCAUCCAGUCGACCGGCGAUGUGGCCCUCAAGACGAUCCAGCUCCAGAAGGGUGACUCAUCUAAGACCGCUGUCAUCGGUGCAGGCUUAGAUGAGAAAUAGAAAAUCGCGCUCGUCAGUUUCCUUCGGGCUAACCGAGACAUAUUCACGUGGAAACCAGUGGAUAUGCCAGGGGUGCCCAGGGAAUCGAUCGAGCAUAGUCUAAAUGUACACGCACAAGCUGUGCCCAAAAAGCAACACCUUCGCAAGUUUGCUCAAGACAAACGCGAGGCAAUCAAAAGGGAAAUAGCUAAACUCCUCAUGGCUGGCUUCAUCAAAGAAGUAAUCCAUCCAGAGUGGGUUGCUAAUCCUGUCCUUGUAAAUAAAAAGAACAAUGAAUGAAGAAUGUGCGUUGACUACACCGAUCUCAAUAAGCAUUGCCCAAAAGAACACUUUGGGCUACCGCGCAUCAAUCAAGUCAUCGAAUCGACGGCGGGUUGUGUACUCCUCUAUUUCCUUGACAGCUAUUCGGGGUAUCACCAGAUCACGCUCAAGGAGGAGGAUCAAAUAAAGAUCACGUUUAUCACCCCGUUCAGGACAUAUGCCUACAAAACUAUCUUUCGAUUUGAAAAACGCAAGUGCAACCUAUCAACGCGCAAUUCAAAUGUGUUUCGCUGAUCAGCUGCAUCGGAAUGUUGAGGCCUACGUGGAUGACGUGAUCAUCAAGACCAGGAAUCCCGCCGACCUGAUUACAGACUUGGAAGAGACAUUCAGCAGCUUACGCAAGUUUCGGUGGAAGCUCAACCCAACAAAGUGCGUUUACGGAGUACCACAGGGAAAUUGCUCGGGUUCAUCGUUAGCAACCAGGGAAUUGAAGCUAAUCCUGUGAAGAUCAUGGCCAUCACUGAUAUGGAGGCUCCGACCACAAUUAAGGAUGUGCAGAAGCUAAUAGGAUAUAUGGCAGCCCUGAACAGGUUCAUCUCCCAACUCGGGGAGAGAGGACUACCCUUCUUCUAACUCCUGAAACGCCAAGACAAGUUCCAGUAGACUGAAGAGGCCGAGCGGGCCCUACAGGAUCUGAAAUAACACCUACAGUCACCUCCAGUCCUUACAGCACCACUGCCGGGAGAAGAUCUACUACUCUAUAUUGUGGAGAUAACUCAUGUCGUCAGCAGUGCCAUUGUAGUCGAGCGCAGCGAGGAGGGCCAUGCGUUUGGAGUGCAGAGGCCCAUGUACUUCACCAGCGAGGUACUCUCCGAAUCUAAGGUACGAUACCCGGCAGUUCAGAAACUUUUAUAUACAAUACUGAUCACAUCAAGAAAGCUGCGCCAUUAUUUCGAUGAGUACAAGAUCACUGUGAUUAUGGAUUUUCCAUUGGCGGAUAUUAUACACAAUCAGGAUGCCACGGGACGUAUAUCAAAGUGGGCAGUGGAACUGGGGGCUCUGUCAAUCGACUUCAAGCCACACACUGCAAUCAAGUCUGAAGCUCUAGUCGAUGUUAUGGCUGAGUGGAGAGAGAACCAAAUUCCAACUCCAGUCGACAAGCCAGAGCACUGGAUCAUGCAUUUCGAUGGAUCUCUUAAGCUCAAUGGCGGAGGUGCUGGAGUCCUUUUUAUCUCUCCGAUGGGCGAACAACUGAAGUAUAUCCUCCAGAUCCUUUGGGAGGUAUCCAAUAAUGAAGCCGAGUAUGAAGCCUUGCUUCACGGGCUCCGUUUGGCGAUAUCACUAGGCAUCAAGCGACUACUUGUAUACGGUGAUUUACUUCUGGUCAUUCAGCAAGUCAACAAAGAGUGGUACUGCAACAAGGAGACAAUGGACGCCUAUGUACAUGAAGUGCGCAAGCUGGAAAAUAAAUUUUUCGGACUGGAGGUUCAUCACGUGAUAUGGGAACACAACAUUGGCCCAGAUAUACUAUCCAAGCUAGGAUCCACCCGUGCACAAGUCCCAGCAGGAGUUUUCGUCCAAGAGCUGAAGCAGCCAUCCAUCAAGUCCUCACCUCAAAUAACCACUAAUAGCGGCCUUCAAAAGCCCAAUCAGGAGGUUAUGACGCUAGGAGAGGACUGGAGAGAAACUUAUAUCGACUUCAUCUGGGGCCAAAGACUACUAGCGGGGAUGGACGCAAGAAGCGUUGCGGUAGCUCGUGUCAUGUGCAGAAGCAAAGGUUUUGUCCUAGUCAACAAUAAACUCUAUCGGCGUGGCUCAUGAUCAGGUGUACUCAUGAAAUGCGUUACGGGAGAAGACGGCUACGACAUACUGUGGAGAUACAUGAGGGCGUAUGCGGCAACCGCGCAGCUUCAAGAACGCUAGUUGAGAAAGCUUACAGAGCUGGUUUUUGGUGGCCCACCGCAGUGUCAGGGGACCUGGUGCGGAGAUGCCAAAAUUGCCAAUUCUUUGGCAAGCAAUCUCAUGUCCCAGCCCACAAUCUUAUCACCAUACCGCCAUCAUGGCUAUUUGCCUGUUGGAGCCUUGAUAUGAUUGGACCAUUCACAACGGCGUCACGUGGUUUCACCCACGUAUUGGUAGCAAUCGACAAGUUUACCAAGUGGAUCGAGUACAAGGCGAUAUCCAAGCUCACGCCAGACGGAGUCGUUGAUUUCAUCUCCGACAUCCUGCAUCGCUUCGACUUCCCGAAUACCAUCAUCACGGACCUGGGAUCAAAUUUCACGGCUAACCACUUUUGGGAGUUUUGUGAAAAUGCGUGCAUCGAAGUUAAAUACGUCUCCGUUGCACACCCAAGAGCCAAUGGUCAAGUCGAGAGGGCGAACAGCACGAUAAUCGUGGGCCUCAAGAAAAGACUCUACGAUGAAAACAGCAAGAAAGGCGGGAAGUGGAUACACGAGUUGUCAUAUGUCAUCUGGGGGCUCAGGACUCAGCCGUCCAAAACCAUAGGACAAACACCGUUCUUUCUUGUCUACGGCUCCGAAGCAAUCUUACCGACUGACAUCAUAUGGAAAUCCCCAAGGGUUGAAAUGUACAAUGAAGGCUAGACGGAUAAAGUAAGGCAGCUAGAGCUAGAUUCUGUCAAAGAGGCUCGCUGCACUGCUCUUGUUCAGUCAGCACGAUACCUAUAGGGGAUCUGACGAUAUCAUGACCGCAACGUCAGAGAACGGUCGUUCAGUAUAGGCGAUUUGGUCCUACGCCGCAUCAAAACGAGUUCGGCUUACACAAUCUCAACUCGAGGUUGGAAGGACCGUUCAUCAUCAAGCAGAUUACAAGACCGGGGUCUUAUCGACUACAAUACCCCGAGGGCCAAGACGUCCCAUAUUCCUGGAACAUACAGAACCUACGCAAGUUUUACCCAUAAGAAGACACGCAAUGAUAGCUGUUAUUCGGUUUUCUUCCGAUUCAAUUUGGAGGCUAUGUGCCACAGAAUCCGGAAUGUAAAUUUUCUGUUAAAAUACGGAGGCUGUAGCCACGUUCAUAUUUUAUAUAAAUUGACUCCUUGCCAUGAGCAUAGCUGUCGUUGCGAUGAUGAUCGCGUUUUUCCAAGCAGGUUAGAUCCGCUCGAUCGGACUCAAUCUAACUUGUUUGACGGUCUCACUUGAGGAGCUAUAUCAACUACUCUCAGAGUUGCAGCACUCGGGGUAGUUUCGACUUCUUGCCAUGAGCAUGACAGUCGUUGCGAUGAUGAUCGCGUUUUUCCAAGCAGGUUAGAUCCGCUCGAUCGGACUCAAUCUAACUUGUUUGACGGGCUCACAUGAGGAGCUAUAUCGACUACUCCCAGAGUCGCUGCACUCGGGGUAGUUUCGACUUCUUGCCAUGAGCAUGACAGUCGCUGCGAUGGUGACCGCGUUUUUCCUAACAGGUUAGAUCCGCUCGAUCGGAUUCUAUCUAACUUGUUGGACGGGCUCACAUGAGGAGCUAUGUCGACUAACUCUAGGGUCGUUGCACCCAGGGUAGUGUCUACUACUUGGCUUAUGAACGCGGAUGGCACUCCAGAAAUCAUAAGGCGAUGAUAGUAUGGACAACAUUGACAGAUAUAUUACAAGGAGAAGAGUUUUUGUCUUUACAAUAUCUCAAUCCUGUAUUACACUCUCUACUAUUUUUUCAGCUACAGGCCUGGCCUCUAGAAGCUACUCGCUGAACUGCUCUUCAGAGCAGUCCGCAGCCGCACCCUGUGUGAGUACCUCUAAUCGAGCCUUAGGCCAAAAUGAUUUCACGAGAUCUAAGGCGUGUCUAACACAUGUGGUGGGGGCCUCAGCAAUGAAGCUGAGGACUUUCUACGGAGCUUCGUGGAGUCGCUCCAGCAGCGAUCGCCUGUCUGCUUCGCCGCCUUCCUGCGGAUCCACCAUUUCAACCAGCUGUUGGGCGGCCACCCUUAUGUCCUCCAGCUCCUUUUGGUGUUGUUCCUUCUCUUCAACCAGCGUCUUGAUCUGCUGAAGGCAGUCGACGAACUGUUGUUCAGUAUCGGCGAUCACCUUCUGCAGCCUCUCGGCAUCAUCUGUACGGCGAUACAGCAUAUUCUUCAUGUCAGUAAUUAACUCUUCUUUAUAUGCUAAGAGUUUCCUAAGCUCUGCGGUGAAGAUAGUUUUUCAGAACAAAAGACAAACUGCUAAGAGAAAGUACUCGAGCGAGAAAAGGACUUGCCUUGCUUCGCCUUUUUCUGCUCCUUAAGCUGUUCUUGGAGCUCGGAGUUGGACUUCUCAAGAUUACGGAGAUCGUUCUUGAGAAGCCAUGUUUCUCGUGUCCGCUCCUGCUUCAGCUUAUCGAGCUCUCUCUGAAGAUAGAUGUUCUUUUGGUGUUCUUCUGAUAUGCGUUGAUCCUUCGCUUGGAGCUCCCGGAGGCCACUCUCGACUGCCUUCAGCUUCUCGGAUUUUUCUUAAGAGCAUUUGGCCACAUCCUGUAUAAGGGGGAAGACUGAGAAGACAAGCAACUCGACAAAGCAUAAUGGCAGAAGAGCAGUCAUGCCUUACUAGGGUAAAUUUAUACAUCUCCUUGGAGAUCUUCUGAAUAUACUUCAUGUUGUCAGCCGAGAGGAGAGGAUCAUCCAAUAGAUCAAGGGGGAUAACGCUCUUGAAUCCUCUCCCAGACGUCAAUAGAGUUCCAGGGUCGCCAGAAGUACCCGCAGCCUCUUCAGUUGAUGGUUGCGGAGCACCUGCAAAUUGAAAAGCGUUCAAUAAAUGAAGCCUACGAUCUAAGCAGUUAGCUGCAGGAGGUCAGACACUUACCUGUACCUUCCGCAGGAGCGGCAUCGGUGGCCUCGACUUGUUCAACACCACCAGCACUGGUUUCAAUUUGCUGGGGCUCGGGAGGUGGUGGGUCGGGCAGUGUCGCGUCCUCAUUCUCUGGCGGCGGCAGUUGUGCGUUUUCCUCUUCGGUAUGUCUGACUGGUGGCUCGGGGGUUGAAGUAGCCGAGACAGGCUCUAGUUCAUUCAACCCCAAAGCAGACAACAACUCAAAAAAGAACAGAAGCUACAUUAUGAACAAGGAGCUGCACUUACAGAGAGGAUUUCUUCAUGCCGGACUUCUUCAGUCUCAAUGCCCAUGGUUUUACAACCAUGGUACUCAUUGCCGGUGGCGGGGUCGUACCAGCCAAGGGCACGGGAUGUCCCGGCAAGGUACCUGCCACGGCAACAGUUACAACCCCUGCAGGUGUAGUCGACGGGUCCAUCCCAGUAGUUUCUGCGGAACCACCUGCUGGAACAUCAUCCCAGCAAAUUCGGUCCCGGCCACCUUUUGGCGCUUGGGGUCGGGAGGAGAAGAAGAAAGACUGCAACAUAGACAAAGUAAGCAUCCAACAAACACAAGACUUGAUCGUUCUACGAGACGGCGGCCUCAUACCUAGUGGUUUCGACUACAUUUGCUUUACGCUUGCGCACCACCCGACGACCCCGAGGGAUUGAUGGCAAGGCUUCCACCAACUCCACGGAUGAUUCAGAGGACUUGUUCUUGUUCGCCUUCCCUUCAACUGCCCUCUUCGCCCGGGGGCUCCCGCUCUCGGUCGUCUCGCCACUGGGCAGAGCAUCAGAUGCUUGAGCCUUUUUUGCUUCAGCCGCGGCGCUGGGAAGAAGGUGGUCCGGUUGGGGAUGUUGGAUUGUGGUGGAUAACUCCGGUACAAUGCUGUGUGUCCCUGCAGAGGACUCUCAGUCAGCGGUUACAGAACAACAGAAAUUAUUCCAAGUAGUCGAAAACUUACCGGCUUUGGAGGAUUUUGCGCAGAAAACAGCUCCGGGAUGUAGGGAAUUGCGUUCACGUCCAGCAGCACCUGCUUGACCCGGAUGAGCGCGGCAUCGUCAGUCAACUCCUCUGCGCACAUCCGAGAUGGGUCUUCAGUACCCAUGUACUCGAAGCCUAGCGUAUGGCACUGUUGGAUGGGUUGGAUUCGGCGUUUGAAGAAUGAUAACAUUACAGACGCGCCGAUCACCCCCAUUUCCUUGUGGGCUUCUAUGAUAGCGAGCAACUCAUCGACUUGAUCCAUGUCCCCUUUGGAGAAUUCGGUGUUCCACUCCGGCCGUAGGACAGGGGGCUUUCCCGAUCUUUUAGGGAGUUGGGGGACAUGGUUUCCGAUGUAGAACCAAUGGCUUUUCCAUCCAAGAAUGUUGGAGGGGGAUUUGUAGGAAAGGUAUCUGUCGCUGGCCUGUUGCCUAAGCUGGAUGCCAGCGUCCCCUACAACGGAUGAAUUUUUGGAGGUAGGUUGUGGUUUUACCUGGAAGAGAUAGCGGAAAAGAUCCCAAUGGGGUUCAAUUCCAAGGAAAGCUUCGCAAAAGUGGAUGAAAAUAGCAAUAUGGCAGAUCGAGUUCGGGUUGAGGUGAUGGAGCUCAAGCCCGUAGAAAUAAAGAACGCCAUGGAAGAAAGAACAAGUGGGGAGAGCCAAACCCCGUUCAGAGAAAUGGUAGAAUGAAACGAUUUCGUCUACAUUUUCCAUAGGAAGAAGUUGGCGAAAAGAAGGGCGUCAGUUGACGAGAUUUUUCUCCUAAAGCAAACCCUCAGAAACAAGAUUCAGGAGUUCGUUAUUGGAGCACUUACUAUAAGUCCACUCCCUAGAAGGCGGUUGCGACUCCUUCCCCUUCCCAUUCUUCUCGUUGGAUCUCUUGGGCGCCAUUUUAGAUCUGUUUGCCAUGAGCUGCUUUACUCACGUACGCUCGGGGGCUGCAGAGAAGGGGCGGAGAGAUUCGGCUAGCUUGGGGCUUGUCAACAGUGGUGAAGGCGGAGCACGGAUCUGAUUGGGGAUUCGGAAAUUUUUUCGGCGGAUUGAAGAUUGGAAGCACGGGUUUUACCCUAAGUUACCGCGGGGUUAAAUAACCAGUGGCCGGAUACAGGUUUACUAUUCCAAAAUUGAAGAGUCGUCACAGGGAAUAUUCGGAAGGUGAGGGGUCAUUUGGUGGAUUUUUAGAUAAAAUAUUCGAUUAACCAUUUUUUCAGUGUUAAUUAUCCCGAAAAAAGGGGUUUUCGAAUUCCAAGUCUAAACUCCAUCAUCUGUAUCAUCACACCAAUUAUUUCCUAAUGGAAUAUUUUUUCACUGCAUGCCACGACUGUUGGAUCCUUUUUUCCAAAUCUAAGAAAUUUGGAUUCAAGACUCGGGGGCUGCGGGAUACGUGGCAUCGACUACUGAUUUUUCGAAUAUAUUCGAAGAGUAAGCAAGAAAGAUUCAAGACUAAUGUGACCCUUGCCUGAUUCUUCGAUUCAACCUAAGACUUGGGGGCUACUCCAUAUGGAAUAUGAUUUUUCAUCGCACACCAUACCAAAGAAGUAAUUCGGGGCAUGAGCACCACAUAGCUUCAAUGCAGACGAAGAAGUACUCGAAGAAGAACUUCAAGACGGAGCUUCAAAAGAAGCCGAAGACUACUUCAGAAGUACUCGAGGAGCCAGCAGUACUCAGCUACGAAGAGCUCGGGGGCUUGUCAGACCCGGGACUACGGGACUGUGUACAUAACGUAGUUCAUACAGGAAUAGGGGAUAGGACAUAUCCUAUACCUUAUCUGUGUUGUACUCUACUCGCAUGCGAAGUAGAACUAGACGAUACAGAAGGAAGCUACUCGAGUUAUACUCGAGUACGAUUUCUAGGCUAGUGUCGGACUAGGAUUCAUGUAACCCUGUCCUCCUGGAUAUAUAAGGGCGGGCAGGGACCCCCUCAAAACACAUCAACACCCAAGGCAAUAGAAACCACUAUACAGGACGUAGGGUAUUACGCACAUCACAGUCCGAACCUGUCUAAACCUUGUGUUGCUUGCACCUUCGAGUUCCUGAUCUCGGCGUCACCCUACCUAAAACUUACCACCUCGGGUAUACCCAUCGGUGGGCAGGCGGUAAAACACCGACAGUACGGGGUUCCUAUACUCAAAAAACAAAACAAAAGUCUAUUCUUCGAGUAAGUUUCAACCACCGCUUUUUUUAUUUUCUUUUGAGGGGUCGUACUUCAUCAUAUGUUUUGCUUAUUCAACUUUAGCACCUGCCCACAUGCUAUAUAAUGAGAUUAAACGUAUAUGUGUUUUGUCAUCUAAACACCGAAACCCACUUAGGGGCCUAGAUAUCUUUCAACCAUCAAAUACUUCCUCCGUCCCGUUACCAAUCCUUAACAGGUAAUCUGCAAACCACUUAUCAGCCUGAGCUCGCAUGUUCUACGUCAACUUGAUCCGCCGAACACUUUCCCAUAUGUAUGACCUCAGUAAGGUUGCAUCUGUGAUCUAGGCUCUUGUACCACGGAGCACCACAGGAAGAACCUGUCUAAAGUCGCCACCAAACAACAUAACCUUCCCUCCAAACAGCUUCUCACAGCCCAUUAUAUCCUGCAACAACCUGUCAAGAGCCUUAACUGCCUGCCUCUUAGUCAUUCCAACCUCAUCCCAUGUUAUCAGAGAUGCCCUUCUUAGCAACUCUGUUGUGCCACUCUGCUUUGUAAAGCUACACAUAGUAUUGCCACUCAAUUUUAUUGGAAUCUUGAACCUGGAAUGUGCGGUGCACCCACCAGGCAUAAUGGAAGCAACUAUACCAGAUGUAGCACUAGCAACCUUUGUUCUUCAACACGUGAUUAAGUAUUUCGUCAUAACCAGCCAUUUGUUCUGCAUUAAGCGUAUCAACAAUUUUCAGAUGAUCCUCAUUAAAUCCAAGGUCCAGUUCCUCGGUAAGCUCUCUAUAAUGAUCCCACGAUCGCUCUUCCUCUGCCAAGCAUAUAAAUACAACAAGAUGUGAUAAUAGCACAAAUUAAAUGUAAAUAGUACUCAAAGCAAAUGUACAUAAAACUAAAGCAUUAGAGAUUACGCACCAGUCUCAUGUAGCUCUAGAAGACUAUAGUGCCUAAUAUCUUUGCCCAUAGAUGUCAAAUGAUAAGAUAUAUCUCUAAGCACUAUCUGUUUAAUUCUCAAGCUAUGAUCACAUGUAAGGCGAAAAUCUUCGGACAUUGAGUCAAGAUGAUUAUCCCAAAGACGCUGGAUAUUAGCACACUCACAAAAAACCAUUAUAGUGGCAAAAAGUCUCCGCAGCGAAUAAGGCAUCCUGAACGUAGCCGACUCCGUAAGGCAGUUAUCAAGUGACUUGUCUGAUUCAACAAGUCUCAUAACCUCACAUGCCUGCCUAAAUGUCUCAUACGUAACACACUCAGAUUCUCAUACGAGGUUGCACCCCUAACAUGGUUCAACAUGAUCCGAAGAUAGUACCACUUACCUUCAGCUAGAUUUGCAUAAACCAACCUGCCAAUAUGAAUCCUUUUAGCUUUGCUAGGCUUUCGGACCUUUUUUGACUUGUUCCAAGUAAAGUGCUUAGGAAACUCCCAUUACAGAUACUUGCAAGCUGCAAGAUUUGUUCUGUUCGCCAAGAAAUACUCUGUAAGCAUGGAUCUCUAUGAUUUUUCAGACUGCACAACAUUAUUCAGGUUGUCAGUAGACUUAUACGCAACCAUGUGCAUACCCUCAAGGUGCACCUGCAUCUACCAUACUGGUGGAGAUAUAGUAUACAACUUAAAUAUAUAUAAUCUGUACACGGCCUCUACAGCAGUUAUCAUCCUUGAAUCUCUGUACUAUUUUUUCUCAUUGAUUACCUUCUUCCUAUUCUCCAUAGGCUCAAGUGAGUAAGAUGCACGAUCAUGCCAUUUGUAUAUAUAUUUGAAGAGAUAUUUAACUGACUUGAUACUGCAACAGAUCUCAACAUUUGUUAGAAAGCCAACCCGCAUGACUCAACCUUAACAUACAUAUCAACUGCAAAUUGUUGGAAAGCCAACCCGCAUGAAAGAAGACAUUGAAUUGACCUUCCCGAAUCUUGUAGCUUGAAGCAGUAGUACUCUCUAGCGCUAACGUGACCCCAGUAUCCUCCACCAGCUGUAAUUAAGAGACACAGUUGUAUCUUUAAAUUGUAUAAUACUAUUUAAUACUACCAUAUGAUAAUAUAUAGAACAUAUAAUCUAAAAUAAAUGGGCAGUGCAUUCAUACCUAUAUCGUCAAGCUCAUCAUCAGGAUCAUCCUCGUUCUCACUUUGCUCAUCCAUCUCAUGGUCUUGCCCAUUAAAAUCGUAAUAAACCGGAUGUCACACUUUUGCCUUCUUAAGAGGCUGCACCUGAACUACACCUAAUUCGUCACCAUCAUCAAGAUCACCUGUAAAUACGAUAUUAUACGAAUCAGUAUAGAGUCCAAACAUCAGCACAUAAUUAUUGUAAAAUAAUAUACAACUCGAUGCAAACCUUGCUUUUUACGCUUCGUAUACUUUCUUUUCGGCUUAGAAGGAGGUGGAACCUGAUACUUGAUCUUUUUUCCUCCCAUCCGGUCUCACCAUCGGGGAAAAACAAAGGGUAGGCUAAUGGGUCGUAGCAACCAUGGUACUCCUUGACAUAGUGAAUCUAUCCUCACUGCCGUAAAUUAUAUGCUACGAGAAAACCUAUGUUGAGGGUCAUUACCGUCCAUCCAUAUAGCAGCAACCUGAUCCAUCCCAGGUGCAUCAUAUCUCCUCUGAUCAAUAGAUAUGCUGGUAUUAAGUUCAAUGUUGUACUCUGUGAUAUUAGAAAUAGAACCAAGGUUUCUGAAUAAAAGCACAUAUGGAUUGUCCUGUACAAUUCCCAAAAUCAACCAGAUCAGUAUAUUAUCAAGUUUAGGAGACCUUUUGACCCUAUGUGCAAUUAUCUCACCAAUGUCAUAAAAGUAUAGCUGAUAUGGCAAGGCCCUCUCCCACCAGGCACAAGCUGAUCCAACCUAUGAUAUAUCUAACCAUGUGUUUUAAAAUAAUACACACCAGUACCUCGUGCAAACUCAAGAUGAUGAUCAAUGGAAACUCCAAAGCUUGUGAAGGAGAAAUGCGAGUUAAAAUACCGAAUGUGUUUCUAAAAAUACUUUGCAUCCUUGUCAGUCUGACUCGCGAAUAAUCUGCGUAGUUCAGCUGGUAACUCUUGAAUAUAUAUGUUAACCUUUCCUUUCCUGCAACAGAAGGCAGGCUCUUCACCUGGGAACCUCUUUGCAUUGCAAAAUUCACAGUUUUUAGCCUCCUUCAGGGUAUGUUGUUUCUUUGGAAGAUACUUGUACAAUGCAUCAUAUUGAUCCGAAUAUUUGAAGGUAAUAUCGGGAUCUACGACAUAGUGAUACUAAAAAUUUGUAUGAAGAAAAAAGAUAUUUAGUGAGAGACAAAGUAUUAAAGUAGUCAGGUAAUUACUCGAAUAAGAAACGAACCUCUAAAAUGAAAUACAUGAGCUUCAUCGUCUUCCACAUUCUCCAUUUCAGGAUCCUCUAGGUCCAUUUGGUCUAAAUCAUUCUUUAUUAAAUAGUAAAUUAUAUUAUUAUUAUCACGUAAGAAUACAUUUUCAUAAGCCUGUUAGAAACAAAAAAUUAUACCUUCAACUCCAUGCAUCGGAUCAUCUGGUUCCCAUAAACCCAAGUCAAACUGAUCUUCUCGAUCAAUAUUUCUAGUACGCGCCCUGGUUAAUCGACCAGACUGUUCUUGCGUCAAUGCAAAUUGUAAGAUCCCAAUAACAGGUGUACCAAUAUGUUCACCUGAAAUUGUAGGCCAAAUAUUAUGGUUCAUACAUAACAAAUAUGAUAGUUAUUUUCACGCUGGAUUAUAGAUUAUAGUACCUUGAUUGGAUAUGUUUUUUUAUUUUCGGCACUCAUUAGCUUCAAUAUCUUCUCAUGCUUUGCUAAAUCUGCCAUUUCAAGAUAUCUACUGCUAUCACUCUCCCUUUUCAGCUUCUCCGGAGUAAUCUCAUCCUCAACUCCUGAUGUGCCAGUAGAAAAUAGUGUGACAGAGGUACCAUCUAUUCUUUCUACACACAAAUAUUUACGCAAAUAUAAUAAUUUAAGAAAUACACCAUAUAUGUUGUAAUAGAAAUAAUGAUGCAUGAAGGUAUGUAAAAACCUUCGUUGGCUGCAACACUAGCAAUAACAUCUGAAUAAUUGACAAUUCUAGUUGCUUGUUUGUUGGCAUUUUUCUUAGCCUUCUGAUCAUCCGUCAUAUUAGGGUACCUUUUGCUCCUCCUUUCUCCACCUUUAUCUCUCCGCUUCUGGACAAGUGACAAUUUCGAAAGAAUAGCUGGUUAAAAUAGUGACAACAGCGGGCAGGCUUGCGUACUUCUCCCUUGCCCUUUACCGCUUAGCUUACCAUUGAUCAGUGGAAUCACCGAGUUGAAAAGGAACCAUGCAUAGAUCACUUGUUUACUUACAACCAUGAAGCACAAAGCUUAUAAUAACAAUUUAUUUACUAAAAGAAGACAUGAAAAAAAUACCAUCAUCAACAUCAUGGAUAACAGGCUGCUCAUGUAAUUGCCGCUUACGACGAUUCUGCAUAUUUGUGAUAUCUCCAAAUGGCCAGCGGCCAUCCAUUGCUAGAUGGAGAACAACAACUGAUCAAAAGAAUAACAUGUGCAUUGCGCCAUAAUAACUUAAAGCAUCUAAGAAAUAAUUUAAUCAAUCGUUAGAUGGAGAACAAUUUUAACAAAGAGCUCGAGGGCAUACUUCUACGGCGGACAGGGCGCAGUGCUUCGCACCUCUACGGUACACUUCUAGAAGUACAGGGGCGCUGGUAGCCAGAACAACUGAUUGGGGAUAAGUAAAAGCGCGAACAAAUCCAAUCGCCAGAGUUCGUCACUGGAAAAGCAUCCGCCUAGAAUCAAAUCUAAUUAGAAAGGGUGCAACUGGAUAUAAUAAUUCAAAUUUAGAAAUCUCUAACUGAAAUUGAAACACACGGAGCAGUUCAUCAUAGAAACCAACAAGUUUGACGUAUAUCAUCCCAAUUAUUUAAGAAUCACGUUCCACUCCUCGAACUAAUCAUCCCAAAGAAGUAUACCCGCUACGAAUCGGAAAUUUAAAAAAUCUAUACACAUUAAUUUUUGUGCAUGGCUCAAUUCAAUCUAAAAUAAUAGUAGUACAAACGCUCAUGUAAAUGAUUAUAUCUUGAAAUCAAAAUCCUUCUUUUAUAUCUACGUUCCACGUAUAUCGUCCCAACUAUUUAAGGAUCACAUUCCACUUCUCGAACUAAUCAUCCCAAAGAAGUAUAUUGCUACGAACCGGAAAUUUAAAAUUAUUGAUUCAUAUUGUUACGUACCACGUUUCUCGUAUAUAUGUGCUGUGAAUUGAGCAGCUCACGAACGUAGGAGGUACGUAACGAUGGAGAAGUAGCAGAAAACCAGCUACGCGUAAUUGCGUAAAUUAAUUAGAACACGUGACGCGUAGGAGGUACGUAACGAUGGAGAGGUAGCAGAAAACCAGCUACGCGUAAUUGCGUAAAUUAAAUAGAACACGUGACGCAUAACUACCGUCGGGACUCAGGCACACGCAUCUUUCCCGAUCACUCGCGUGCGUAAUUCGGUAAAUGUAGUACGUUGUGACCGUGCUGUGCAUGUUUACCCCUUCUGACUUGCUAGUUCUCACUUGUUCGUCGUUCAUCCUGAUGACGACAGGCCGGGUCAGCUGGGUAGCUAGCCAGGCGUCGCGUGCUGGCAUCGCCGUGGCGUGUGCACGUACACACCGAACGUCGCUGGAAACUAACCGAGCCCCGAGACGCUUUCAUUCUCCCCAAGGAAACAAGGCACGUGCGCUGCUGCACGCGUCCUGUGUUCCUGUACCGUCACUGUAUGCAGCAGCAGCGAGGAAGGUGACGGGGAGGUCGCCGAAGCGGCUUCCCGGCCGCAGGAGCUAGCGCUCCACCACCCACCCGUCGGACUCGGAUCCGUCGUCCGUCCCCAAAAGCUGACCGUUGCCGCUUCCGCUCUCCCUCACUCACUGUCACUGCCUCCUCCUCCUACUUGCAGCUGCGACCGGACUGGCCGGCGACCAGUCAAACGAAACCCCUCCCCAACCAAACUUGCCUUGGCGUUGGCUGCUACCGCGCGCUCAGUCAGAGCACCGCAUCGGUACGACCGCAUCAGGACCGAGCCCCCGCCCUAUAAAUAGGGCCCGAAAGGCAAGCCUCCCUCUCCUCACAAGCUCAUCAUACCGGUCACCACCACACCACGCGGCGCUUGCUCAGCCUAGCCCUCCAGCUUCGUCUUCUCCUUCGCGCGAGCCCAGGCACGGCGCGGCGCGCUGCCACGACGGCGUCGAGCAGUGAAGCGAGGAGCAGCACCAUGGACAAGCAGCACGGCGGCGGCGGCGUCAAGGUCACCUACAUCGAGACGCGGUUCGUCACCUCCGACGCCGCAGGAUUCAAGGACCUCGUGCAGCGCCUCACCGGCAGGUCCCCCGCCGGCGAAAAGCCGUCCCCAGCGGCGGCGCCGCACAGGCCGCGCGCGUGCCCCGCCGCAUCAGGUGGGGACUGGACGACGGCCGCUGCGGCCGGAGCUCGGGCGCCGCAAGGCUACGACGAUUACCGGCCGGUGGCCGAGGUGUGCUUCCCGGCCGUCGCCGGCCGCGCGCCGCCGUGCCAGGAGAAGCUGCUGCUCGGCAUGGAUGACUUCUCCGACCUGUUCUACGUCGGUGCCGGCGAUCAGUGGCGUCAUGGGCUAAGUGGCGGUUACAGCGAUCUUCCCUACUUUUGAUCGACCAUCAUGAUUGGAUUGUUUUUUCCUUCUUCCCCUAUUUCUUUGAGACGGAGAUUCGCUUGGUGACAACGAAUUACAUGUACAAACUACUGUAACCAUUACAUUCAUUUAUUCAUUUUUAGUUUAGUGUGUAUUCGCACUAAGCUUGUGUAAGUUCUCCCUUGUUCAAUUCAUUUAAUUUGCUCAUUUCUGGUUAGUUUGCAAGUACAAGGGUAAAUGUUGGCAGAAACUGGACCGCCUCGACCAGGAUUUGAAUAUUCAAACACGCAUGUAACCAGCAUCGUUUUUGUUACAUGCAUAAAAUGGACCUCCUUUUGCUACUCAGUUACUUCAAAGCUCAUGCUCAUCGUUUUCUCGACUGAGCAUAUAUAUAGUGCGUUAAUACACAUAUCAUUAGCAAAGAUAUUCCUCGGAAAAAGAAAAGAAAAAAAACAUUGCCAAAGAUACAAGGAUUCACUUCUCUAACUCGACUAGCAAACCAUGGAUGGUCAGAAGCUGUAUUCCAAUGCGACAAUUUAUUUAUAUAAAAGCAACAUCAAGUAUUACAAAUUGAUUGAAUCUUGCAUUUCUAUUAUACCAUAAUCUAUUUGUAUCGACAUCAUAAAGAUAGGAUUUCAUAUUUUUUUAAAUAAUUAAAUAAAUGCUGCACAUCUUGUGUUGUAUCCUCUAUUUUAUAAUGUUUAUUUAUUCUUGUAUACUUAUGCUUUUUAAUGCUAAUAGACCUUGCAGAGAUAUAUCUAACUUUUACGGCUGAUUGAACCCUAUAUUUUUGAGAGGCACAAUCAAAUCUUGAGCAGUGAUCUGGCACUUCUAUAUAGGACGAGUUUUAUCUAUACUCGCGUGUAGCUACUCUCACCAUCAGUAUACCACUGUGUGUAUGUUCGCAUACUUUGAGUAUAUUCAUAUCCUAAUUGGAAUUAGAUACUUCAAAAGGAUAUAUAAAAAAAUUUCAAAAGCACCCCUAUUUUUUAAAUAUAUUAUACUUAUACCUUAGUACUGCUAUAUAAAAAUUAGUAUGUCCACAUACUGUAUGUAUGGUCACGUACGUAACGUAUAUAUCAUCAUAGAUAUUCUAGUACGAUCAUAUACUUCAUGUACUUGUUCUUCGUUAGGUCAGAUACGUCCUAUGUCAUGAGAUAUAUAUAUAUAUAUAGAAGUAGCUACAGUUGUGUGUAGAAUAAAUUUUUCUAACAAAUAAAUUUUCCUUAAAGUGGGUUAUUGACAAUUGUGGUACACCAAACCAUUCAUUCGACGACGCACUCUCGGAUUCUCCUUCGGUUUCCUGCAAACCUCUCCCCUUCCCGGCGUCGUUGCUGAGGAUCUUCGUUAAUGGUUUCUCCGAACGGUUCCGAACGUCUUCACCGGUCGUACGAUGGACACCCCGCGCCGCACGAGCGCUUGACCAUCCAUCUCCCUACGCAGUCCCCGAAAGUUGACCGUUGCCUGCAUCUCUGCCAUCUUCCCUCCUACCCUGAGGCCGGCGACCGGUCAAACUUGCUCCCUGUACCACACAUCGGCACGACCAGGCCCCAUCCCUCACCGCCAUGCCGGCCCCACCACCAUUUAGCCCCACAUGUCACUGCCCAACAACCAUCCCGCGCCGCCAACUUGCAAUGCAAACCUACCGCCCCGCCGGCCGCAUCCUAUAAAUACAGCCCAGUGUACGACCAGUCCACCACCCAGAGCUUGCUCAGCCAGCCAGCCUUCCUCUUCCUCCCAAGCGAGCCAGAGGUUGCGAGGCGGAGCACGAGCCACGAGGUGACGGUCGCAGAGCAGAGCCGACGCCGAGCGAGCAGGGAAGAAGGGAGAGAGGAAGCAUGGACGGCGUCAAGGUCACCUACAUCGAGACGCGGUUCGUCACCUCCGACGCCGCCGGAUUCAAGGACCUCGUGCAGCGCCUCACCGGCAGGUCCCCCGCCGGCGACGCGCCGGCCCCAGCAGCGGCGCCGCGCGGCGCUCCUGCGGCCGCCGCCGGCACGCAGGGAUGCUACCACCCGCCGUCGCCGCCGUCGGCAGCGCGCGUCGGAGACGGCCGCCUCGCGCCGCCGCGCCUGGAUGAGGCGUACGGCGGCGGAGACUUCGCCGGCCUGCUCUACGGCGCCAGCGCCAGCCAGGACGCACAAUGUGGGCACGGUGGAUAUUACACUUUCAGCGAUUAUUUUCCCUGCUGAUCGAGAGGGGCAUGAUCGGUCGAGAUUGGUUUUUUCUUACGACAAGUAUAUAGUUCAUGUACAAAUCGAUUCUACGUGCAACCAUUAUUUCUAGUAUAAUCCGUACAGCAUGCCAGUACUUUCUUUGUGGGUGCUUCAGUAACACUCCGUAUUCUCUUGCAAGUUUUGAACAAAACGAAAAUGAACUUUGCCACGCAUGCAAGGCCCUGGAACUGAACUGCCUCCAGUUACAUGCUUGCAUUCAAACAUAUAACUAACUAGCAUAAAAAAAACAGCCUUGUUCGAAGAUAUCAGACACUCACAUCAUUCCUUUCAAGUCAGAGGCUCGUAGCUGAUAUAUACGCCCAACAAACUGACAAGGGCAUCACACACACAUGCUGGUAAUUCGCUACAAAGUUGGACCGUACCAUUGCGAAAGACCUCCCCUAUCAAGUUUAUCAGCAGAUCAGAAUUGAAGUAUUCAUAUCGAUAAAACAAAUCCACUCAUGAGACUGAUGAUACCAAUCUCAAGAAAAUAGAUCCCAUCAUGAGAUUCCACCAUGUCAUACCCAAAAGACGAGGAGUUCAAGUCCUCCAGUAGAGACGUUAACAAAACCAAUCAGUAACCUUAGGGCCCGCCUAACGCUUCCAGGUUUGUUCAGUUGUUGCAGCUUGGUGAAACCAAAGCGCUGAUGCUCUGGAUGAGAUCAGAAUUUUUUACUGCUGAUUACCACUUCACCAGAGUAGCUAUAGAAUGCUAGCCGAUACUAUUUCCUAGCUACAUACAUAUAUAUGUUGUAAGUAGUAACAUCACUGCUAAAGGGAUCAAAGAUUCACUUGAUUGUGUGGUUACAUUGAGCAUUCAUCGAUCUUGCUUUUAGUCAGCUGAAACGCUGGAAUCACCCAGGCUCCGCAGCUGCACUGCAUACCAGCCCAGUUGAAUUGUCCCAGACGAGCUUUGCAUCCCAUACAGAAGAGCUUAUUCGCAACAUAUCCUUCUUCCACUGCAAAUAGUACAGAGAAAUAUCAGUGGCUUAUGACGAAUGCUCUAAAAGAAGAGAGGUAAAACCAUCAUAAAUGGAGAACUUACCAGUUUGCAUCCACUUCAUUGGCUCCACAAAGAUGCAAGGACAUUCAGUUUGUUUGUCAUCAUCAUCUGACCGUUUGCCUCUGUUGAAGCUCUUCCCACCUGCGCCCACUUCAUGGGUAACAACAAAUUCUUGAGUUGCAAGCAUCCUCCGACAUUUUUUACAGCGGUAAAUAACGCCUGGAUCAGGAGUUCGCUUUUCUGGGUUAACAUCAGGUUCUGCAGAUUUUUCUUUCAGAAAAGAUUCUGCAGAUUUCUCCUGGCAUGUUUCUGUAGGCUUUUGAUUAACCUCCAAUCCUGCCUCCGGAUCAGCUUUCUUCUCUGGGAUGAUUUCAGUUUCCACCACUGUGUCCUGACAUGUUUCCAGUGGCUCUUCAUUGACCUCGGACCCUGGAAGCUCAUCAGUUUCCUUUCCUGGGUUAACAUCAUUUCCCACAGGAUUUUGAUUGGCCUCUGGUCCUGGCUUUUGUUGAAUUAAUGAUUCUGACAUCUGACCGGUUUCCAUCUCCUUUAACCACAUUAUAUCAGUUGUGCGAAAUUUACAUGCAAACAUGGUACAACUGUACCAAUACAUAAUACAAAAAAUACAAAAUCAACUUACCAUGUUGUUUAAACUUGAAAUUAAAGCCUCCAUAAGCCUACUGGAAAUUGAUUUGAUGUUGCUUGCACCUGCAAUGUUCACAGACAAGCAAUAAGAGAUCAUGAACCUCACUGGUAAACAUUUAAAGCAAAAAAAAAAAAGUUCCUUACAUACUGCAAAUUAAACAAAAUGUAAAGAUGUUACUGCUGUAUGCUCAUAGUUAUGGAAACGUAAUAUUCAUCUAUCCUGAGCAUCAUAUGCAGUUAAGGACAUGAUCCAUGGAAAAUACAUUCCAUAACUUGCAGAAGCACAGUCCUUCUGUGAUGCAUGUGCACAAUUGUUUUAUGAUAUAUGACUGAAACUCAUCUUGACAUUAUGGGUUGUGACAACCCCAUGAAUUAUAUAUCCUCUGUGUUAUUAGUCACAAUUCAGACAAUUGAAGUCUUUAUUUUGAAAAAGAGACAAUUGAAGUUUUCAUGCACCAAUGCCAAGUACAGUAAGUAUUUUUACUCAAAUAAAGUAUAAGAAACUUAGCAGUAACAGGAUUUGUACACCUCCAAGUGGAGUGCAAACUAAUUCUGUUCAUUUAACGAGGCAGACUUGUCAGCACAAGCAACUAAAAAAUAAACUUAGACUCUUGUUAUUUCAAUAGUCUGAAGUCCUAAUGCAUAAACAACAUAAGUUGGGACAGGAACUGGGAAUUGGCCAGUUACAAAAAGAAAAAAAGAAUAGAACCCACACAAUCUUUAACAAUGCGGUGAAUCUCUCAAAUCUUCACAUCUUUCAGCAUCAUUGCUGAUGCAGAGUAUUUUGGUUUAAAAAGUGAUUUAAAAAGAUGGCCACACUGUAUAGUUCAUAGCUACACUUCAUCAGGCCUAUACAACACAGAUCAUGUAAGCAGCAAUGUCCAUUUGAAUCAUGGCACAAACCAAAUCCCACAUUCUCUUUGUAAAACUGAAUUCUGGUAAAGCAAACAAUUGGGAGGCAGUUAGUUUGUAAUACAAACCAACAGCCAUAUUGGCGGUUCCUUCCAUUGUAUUCAUAAUGUCCCAACCAGGCCCUGAAUCAUGGAGUCGCCAACAGACUCUGGAAGCAGUGAAUGAUUCUAGGUCAGGCGUUCAGGAUUUCCAAAGCUAUCCAACCCCAAAACCUCACGUAAACCCAACCACAAGGAGCAGGGCGGGGCAUAACGUGCGUCACGCCGGGAUCAGUUGAGCCCCAGAAACACCAUCAUGGAAAAAUAAUUUACACCCGCACCUGGGAUCCCAGUCCUUAGGGCACCAGCAGCGACCCAUCGAUUCCGCGCGCCCUAAAGAAAUGAAGCAUCCUAGUCGAACCGAACCGGAUCCAUGGGUGAACGGGAACAAAUACGCGGCUAAAUGAUGCACGCGAACACGGGAAUUGAACCGAUUACUCGCGCCGGCAACUGAAGCACCUCCAAGGAAACCCGCAAUUAGAGAGGAAGGGAAAUCCGAUGGUUAGGGUUCCUUACCAGGGUAAAAAUCAAUCAGAAGCGUGGACGGAUUCGCCCGCUCCGCGCCAAUUCCGAAACCAGCUGAGGGCGGAGGAGGAGCGCGGCGAGUCGACGCCGGCAGCGGAAGUGCGAGGGCUGACGCUGGGAGCGGACGGCCGGUUAAGGCGGCGCGGGCGCGGGGGAACCGGGGAAGAGGACGGCGGUGUCAGCCGUCAGCCAUAUAAACGGUCAGGAGACGUAUGUAUAUUGUAUAACAGCCGUAUGCCCGUAUCCGUCUUUAAAAAGGAGGAUAAUACGAGUUCGAUUUCUUUUUCUUUCACUUUGAUUGAGACGACACAAUUUUGAAUACGAGCAUACGGCUGUCAGCUCCUAUUUGUGAAUGGACACAAAACUUUUCUUUCAUCAAAUGAGUUUCAAUGAUUUCUAUCUCCUCUGUGGGAGCCUUGAUAUGCUCCUGUUUGUGAAUGGAUCAAGUUGCUGGCCAUCCCUAUUUGGAGGUUUGGCCUCAGGUUACUAUCUCACAACAUCAGAUGAAAUAAGCAUCUGAAAAUUCAGAAAAACAUGUCAAUAUUCUUUUCUUUACCAAUACAUUUGUUCACCAACAUAUAACCCUUUGGAAUGUUAUGUCUUGAAUAAGCAAAUUCCCAUCAUCUAUUUCUACAGUAGUACAUAAGUUAAAAACUUAAAAAGUAUUGAAAUAUUAUAUUUUAACGGUAAUUCUCACAACAUCAGAUGUUACUAUCUCCAUUGAAUGAUUCAGAAUAGUUAUUAUCUAUGUAGUACUGAAUAAAAAGCAACACAUCAUAUAUUUCUGAACGGAGUAUAAAGGUAAUAUUUUCCACUGAAGUUACUAUGCUGUAUUUCUUGAAGUGUUUCUAACACAGUUAUCUAACUCGCAUUGCAAGCAACAUCAACGGUUCCACAAUCUUCUGGAAUUAGAAAUAGUAAAGUUGAGUAGCCCUGCAAUAACUAUCCUUCGAUCUUUAUAUUACCAGAAGUGGUAACAAAAUGCAAUUUCAACACGUUUACACCGCGACAAGCAGACAUGGCACUUAACAGGCCAUCUACUAGGAACCACAAGCUGAAUACUGAUAUGGAAAGGAAAUAUUUCAUAAACGAAAAUUGUUAAAUUGGAGGGGAAUUGCCUUUUCCUUUGAAUCCAUUUCCUCCCUUACUGCCGAAAUGAUAACCUGCUCUUCUUAAACAUUCAACAAUGCAGCAAGGUACAUCAACAUCAUCAACAACAACAACAACAACAACAACAACAACAACACUUAGCCUUUUAUCCCAAGCAAGUUGGGGUAGGCUAAACAUGAAACCCACGGAAAACAAGAAAGAAAUAAAAAAGGGCACAAAACAAAGGAAGAUUUAGGUGUUAAACAAAAAGUAAAAAAGAUCACGGUUCAGGUACGUUAAUUGCUAAUCUCCAAACGCUCCUGUCCAUAGCUAAUUUCUUAGCGAUAUUCCACUCCUUAAGAUCUCUCUUAACCGUCUCAUCCCAAGUUAGUCUAGAUCUACCUCUACCUCUCUUUACAUUAUCGCCCCGCUUUAAAACUCCACUACGCAACGACGCGUCGGGAGGCUACCGUUGUACAUGUCCAAUGCAGCAAGGUACAUCAAAUAGUUUUUUUCUUUCCUCACCAGAUAUUAUUGAGAAAGGCAGAAAAAAGUAAAGGUGGCACCACAAAUAUGUGCAAUAAAAACUAUUAUCCAGGAACUGCACAUAUAAAAUGAUUCCAUGGUGUAGUGGUUAUCACUCACUUUGAAUCUGGCAACCUGGGUUCGAAUCCUGGUGGGACCUUACCCUUUUUAAAUCCAAGGAGAAUCUGUGAAUAUGCCAUUCAAAAGAUCCAAACUUUUGGAAAUCCAAUUAGCUUUUCCCAAAAAGGAGCUCAGAAGAUCCAAACUUUUGGAAAAACCAAUUACCUUUUCCGGGUUUACUUUAAUACCUUCAGAAAGUUUUCAUCAUUUGCUCCAGUUUUUAAUCCAUUGCAUGCUUAAUUUGUUUGGGAUAGAGAACGUAGUAGGAAAUAGUGGGAUGUAGAUCAGCAAAUAUCUGUGGCAUUCUCUGCGCACAAAUGGAACAAGAAGGGGAGAGCUCGGCUGGAGAGAAACAACAUACUUGAAAGUGAGAAAGGUGAUAAGCAAGCUGGGCAAUUCUCACAACAUUGACUGGUGCCAUUUCCACAUGACUUUCAAUAUAUUACUGAUUUGUACUAGAAGUUUGACACAUCAUACAUUUCUCGAUGAACUGCAAAUAUGUCUCACUCAAGUUUAGAUAUUGUAUUUCUUAAUCAGUCUAUUGACAUGGUACAACCAAUUGACAAAGUCGUGCAUCAUUAACAGCCCCAUAAUCUCUUUAGUCUAAGAAACAGGAAAGAAUCAGGUAUAGUAAAACCCAGUAGCUGCCAUAACCCCCAAAAAAUGCUGAGAAUGGAGCCAAGCGCAAGUUCAUGCCAAAACUCAACAGUCUACUGCAGACAUGGCAAUGAAUGAUUUAAAAAUAAAAUAAAAUGUUGAAUUGGAGAGAAGUUAUCCCUUCAGUCAAAUUCAAUUCCUAAAUAGCACUCAAUUACGCAGCAAGGUGCAUCAGUUAAACUACAGAAAUUAGCCUAUUCCUUGCGAUUUAUUGGGAAUGGCUAACAGAAGCAAAAACAAUAUGGUGCUAUGGGGAUGUGCUAUCAUAAAUAUAUUAUCUAGGGAGAAAACACAUAAAAUGGUUCCAUGGUGUAGUGGUUAUCACUCCAGACUUUGAAUCUGGCAACCUGGGUUCGAAUCCCGGUGGGACCUACCCUUUUUACAUCAAAGGAGAAUUUGUGAUAUGCCAUUCAAAAGAUCCAAACUUUUGGAAACCCAAUUAGCUUUUCCCUAAAAGGAGCUCAGAAGAUCCAAACUUUUGGAAAAACCAAUUAACUUUUCCAGGUUCACUUUAGGGGCUGUUUGGGAGAGCCUAUCCCAAUUUCUUGCUUCACCUGUUGUGCGCAAAUUGAGGAACUAUAGUGUGAAGCCGUUUUGUAAGCUCAGGGUAAAAUGAACUAGAAGCCAGGUGAAUCCAGAUUUUCUUUUUUUUGGCUUCACUAGUGAAGCCGUUUGGGAGAAACCCUCCCAAACGGCCCCUUAAUACAUUCAGAAAAUUUUCAUCAUUUGCUCCAGUUUUUAAUCCAUUGCAUGCUUAAUGUGCUUGGGAUAGAGAACGUAGUAGGAAAAGCGGGAUGUAGAUCAGCAAAUAUUUGUGGCAUUCUAUCCUAUAGCCAGGAUUAAGAAGGAGGUUAUAGGAGUUGUGCCCAAAAUGGAACAAGAGGACAGCUCGGCUGGAGAGCAACAUACUUGAGAGUGAGAAAGGCAAUAAGCAAGCUGGGUAAUUCUACAACAUUGACAGUGCUAUUUCCCACAUGACUUUCAAUAUAUUACUGAUUUGCACUAGAAGUUUGACAAACCAUACAUUUCUCAAUGAAUUGCAAAUAUGUCUCACUCGAGCCAAGAUAUUGUAUUUCUUAAUCAGUCUGACAUGGUACAACCAAUUGACAAGGUCAUGCAUCAUUAACAGCCCCAUAAUCUCUUUAGACUAAGAAACAGGAAAGAAUCAGGUAUAGUAAAACCCAGUAGCUGCCAUAACCCCCAAAAAAUGCUGAGAAUGGAGCCAAGCGCAAGUUCAUGCCAAAACUAAACAGUCUACUGCAGAUAUGGCAAUGAAUGAUUUAAAAAUAAAAUAAAAUGUUGAAUUGGAGAGAAGUUAUCCCUUCAGUCAAAUUCAAUUCCUAAAUAGCACUCAAUAACGCAGCAAGGUGCAUCAGUUAAACUACAGAAAUUAGCCUAUUCCUUGCGAUUUAUUGGGAAUGGCUAACAGAAGCAAAAACAAUAUGGUGCUAUGGGGAUGUGCUAUCAUAAAUAUAUUAUCUAGGGAGAAAACACGUAAAAUGGUUCCAUGGUGUAGUGGUUAUCACUCCAGACUUUGAAUCUGGCAACCUGGGUUCGAAUCCCGGUGGGACCUACCCUUUUUACAUCAAAGGAGAAUUUGUGAUAUGCCAUUCAAAAGAUCCAAACUUUUGGAAACCCAAUUAGCUUUUCCCUAAAAGGAGCUCAGAAGAUCCAAACUUUUGGAAAAACCAAUUAACUUUUCCAGGUUCACUUUAGGGGCUGUUUGGGAGAGCCUAUCCCAAUUUCUUGCUUCACCUGUUGUGCGCAAAUUGAGGAACUAUAGUGUGAAGCCGUUUUGUAAGCUCAGGGUAAAAUGAACUAGAAGCCAGGUGAAUCCAGAUUUUCUUUUUUUUGGCUUCACUAGUGAAGCCGUUUGGGAGAAACCCUCCCAAACGGCCCCUUAAUACAUUCAGAAAAUUUUCAUCAUUUGCUCCAGUUUUUAAUCCAUUGCAUGCUUAAUGUGCUUGGGAUAGAGAACGUAGUAGGAAAAGCGGGAUGUAGAUCAGCAAAUAUUUGUGGCAUUCUAUCCUAUAGCCAGGAUUAAGAUGGAGGUUAUAGGAGUUGUGCCCAAUAUAGAAGAGAUACUUUUUCUAUUCAACACAAACCCUAACAGGGUAUAGUUAUUGUAAUACACAUGGGCCCAAUGGGCCACAAUGCCCCAUGGGCACAAUACACUCCAACAUCCCCCCGCAGUCUGAACAACCGGCGCAGCGGUGUUCAAGACUGGACAAGAAGAGAGAACAAGGGGCAAAUACCCCCCCGCAGCCACGACUAGCCACCGGCUACGUUGAGGCUGGAUCGAAACUCCGAGAAGGUCGAGGAGGGCAGCCCCUUGGUGAAGAUGUCAGCAAACUGGGAGGUAGUCGGGACAUGGAGGACCCGAACAUCGCCGACUGCGACUCUAUCGCGCACGAAGUGUAGGUCGAUCUCCACGUGCUUUGUCCGCUGAUGCUGGACGGGGUUGGUGGAGAGAUACACGGCGCUGACGUUGUCGCAGUAGACGAUCGUGCUCUUGGCGAGCGGGCUGUGGAGCUCCGCCAAGAGCUGUCGAAGCCAGGACGCCUCCGCAACGCCGUUAGCGACAGCCCGGUACUCCGCCUCGGCACUGGAGCGAGAGACAACCGGCUGCCGCUUGGACGACCAGGAGACCAGGUUGCCGCCCAGGAAGACGGCGUAGCCGGAAGUGGAUCGACGGGUGUCCGGGCAGCCAGCCCAGUCAGCGUCGGUGUAGACCACCAGCUCAGCAGAAGACGAGCGGUGAAGAACCAGGCCGAGGUCCACAGUGCCACGGACGUAGCGGAGGAGACGCUUCAGCGCAGCAAGGUGUGACUCCCGGGGAUCAUGCAUAUGGAGACAGACCUGCUGGACAGCGUAGGUGAGAUCCGGCCUGGUGAAGGUGAGGUAUUGCAAAGCACCAGCCAGACUCCGGUAGGCAGUAGGAUCAGCCACCGGAUCACCCAGAUCGGCGGACAGCUUCGCCUGAGUGUCGACAGGAGUGGAGCAGGGCUUGCAAUCAGUCAUCCCAGCCCGCUCCAAGAUAUCGAGUGCGUACUGCCGCUGGUGCAUGAGAAGACCAGACGGGCAAGGCUCAACAGUGACGCCCAAGAAGUGGUGGAGCUGACCGAGAUCCUUCAUAGCAAACUCCUGCCGCAGAGAGAAGAUGACACUCUGAAGCAACUGCUGACUCAAGGCUGUGAGCACAAUGUCAUCAAUGUAGAGCAGCAGAUAAGAGGUCUCAUCCCCUCGCAGGUAGACGAAGAGAGACGUGUCAGACUUGGCCUCGGUGAACCCCAAUGUCAGCAAGAACGUGGCGAACCGAGAGUACCAAGCCCGAGGAGCCUGCUUCAGCCCAUAGAGAGAUUUGUUGAGCCGGCAGACCAUAUCCGGACGGCUCGAAUCCACAAAUCCCGCUGGCUGAGAGCAGUAGACAGUCUCGAACAGAGUGCCGUGAAGAAACGCAUUCUUCACGUCCAGUUGGUGCACAGGCCAAGAGCGCGAGAGCGCAAGCGACAGGACAGUGCGCACCGUAGCAGGCUUCACGACAGGGCUGAAGGUCUCAUCAUAGUCCACACCAAGCCGCUGUGUGAACCCCCGGAGAACCCAGCGAGCUUUGUAGCGCUCCAGUGUGCCAUCAGCCCGACGCUUAUGCGUCCAGAUCCACUUGCCAGUCACCACAUUGCAACUAGACGGACGCGGCACGAGGUCCCACGUCUGGUUGGCAAGAAGAGCCGCAUACUCCUCUUCCAUCGCGCGACGCCAGUGAGGAUCCGCCAAGGUGUCGCGGACAGAGGAGGGUACAGGAGAGACACGCGGCUCUCCCUCGGCGGCGGAGAGAGUCGCGGCCUGAGAGGCCAUCCGCCGAGUCACCAUGGGAUGGAUAUGCCGAGGAUCCCGAUGGAUGACUGGCGGGUGGUAUACCUCCGGCUCGGCACGAGAGGGAGCCGGAGGAGGCGGCAGCGGCGACGGCGCCGGCGUCGGCGUCGCAGGAGCCUCCGGAGCAGGAGGCGGCGCCAGGGUCGGCGCCGAACGACGCCGGUACACCUGCACCGGCUCAGUGUACUGCGGUGGUGUCGGGGUCGGCGCCGAGCGACGCCGGUACACCUGUACCGGCUGGGCGUACCGCGCAGGUGCACGUGAAGGCACUGGGGCCGCGCGCGGCACGACCGGAGGUCCGGAAACCGCGCGUGGUGCGACCGCGGGCACCGGGGCCGCGCUCGACGCAGCAGGGAUCACCGGAGACGAUGCCGGCGUGCCAGGGAAACUUGCAGGAAAAGGACAGACAGGGAACGGUGGCUGAACCACCGGAUCAGUCGGAAACAGAGUCUCCAGCUCGGGGUCAGGAGAAGGUGUAGAGGAGGUAGAGUAGAGGAAAUCCGACUCGUCAAAGACGACGUGUCGGGAGAUCAGAACGCGGCGAGAGGUGAGGUCAAGGCAUCGGUACCCCUUGUGGUCAGGGGAGUACCCGAGGAACACACAACGAGUCGAUCGGGGCGCCAGCUUGUGAGAAGCGGUGGCGGAGGUGUUAGGGUAACACGCAUACCCGAAGACCCGAAGGUGGUCGUAGCGAGGAGAGGUACCGAAGAGAGCGUGGUGUGGAGUGGCAGCGGGAGAAGCAGUGGACGGAAGACGGUUAAGUAGGUAGGUGGCGGUGUGGAGGCUCUCAGCCCAGAAGCACGGGGGCGGAGAGGCCUGGAUCAGGAGGGUGCGCACGACGUCGUUCGUCGUGCGAAUCAUCCGCUCAGCCUUGCCGUUCUGAGGAGAGGUAUACGGACAAGACAUACGCAGCUGGACACCUCGAGACAGGAAGAAGGACCGGGAGGUGGAGUUAUCGAACUCCCGCCCAUUGUCACACUGGACGGCCUUAACUGUGAGGCCGAACUGAGUGGACACCCAGGCAAAGAAGUGGAGGAGGGUGGGGAAGGUCUUAGACUUGGUGCGCAAAGGAAAAGUCCAAGAGUAAUGAGAAAAAUCAUCAACAAUGACCAGAUAAUAUUUAUAACCAGACAUGCUGAGUACAGGAGAUGUCCACAGGUCACAGUGAAUCAGAUCAAAAGCAUGCGCAGCAUGCGAAGAAGAAGAAGAAAACGGAAGUCUAACAUGACGACCUAACUGGCACGCAUGACAGAGGUGCUCAGCAGGGGCCUUAGUACAAGGAGCAUCGGUACUACGGCUGAGCUGAGCCAAAACGUCGCGGCCGGGGUGACCAAGCCGGCGGUGCCAGGUGGUGGAAGAAGGUGUCACGGCAAAAGCAGCAGACGAAGAAGCCGAAGGCGAGGCAGCGGAAGCAGGAAGCCGAAGGGUGUAAAGGGGCCCCGGGCUGUCACAUCGGAGAAGAGGACGCCGGGAAACCGAAUCCUUCACAGUAAGGCCAGAGGAGUCAAAUUCGAUAGAACAAGAGUUGUCAGCAGUAAACUGGCGAAUGGAAAGAAGGUUGCGAACCAUUCGAGGAGCAACAAGAACAUUAGGAAGACGAGGAGCAGAACCCACGGCGGUGACAGGAAGGCAAGACCCAUCACCAACCAUGAUAGAAGAAGGACAAGAGGGGUGUGGGGGUCGGACAGAAGAGAGGAUACCGGCAUCAGGAGUGGUGUGGAACGAGGCACCCGAGUCGGCGAUCCACUCGGUGCUGACCGGCGGUGUCAGUCCCAUGGUGCUAAAGGACUGCGCCAGAGCGGCCUGGUCCCACCCCCCCGGCCAGAUCGGCUGCUGGCUAGGCUGAGCGGGCGGGGUCCAGGACGGCGCGAAAAAAGGAGUAGCACCAGUGAACAGGGCCGCCGGCUGGAGCUGAGGACGAAGGCCCCCCACCUGACCCUGGAGCGGCCACAUCGAGAUGCGCCCUGACCACGGGUUGCUGAAGGAUGGCCAGGGCGUACCUCCAGGGGCAGGGCAGGAGCAGGAGCCGAGGUCGACGCGCUCCGACGGCCCCCACCGGUACUGGUAUCCCCAGGAGCAGGGCCACCAGUGCCACCACCACCACCCCGUCGCCGGCGACGUCCACGGCCCCCCCCCCCCCUCCUCCGGUCUGCCCGGCGGGAGCAGCCCCAAAGAGGGAGGUGGCAGGAGCAGCGGAGGAGGACGGUGGAGCGGUAACAAGCGCGGCGGAGGGUGAGGAGGAUCCGGGCGCAAGACCCCUGGUGAGCUCCUCAAGAGCGAGGUCGUCCCGGACCUGCAGGAAGGUGGGAAAGGGCCUCUGGCGGGUGAUCCAGCACUUCAGGUGGUCGUAGGUGCUGCUCAGGCCCCGUAGGACAUUGAGCACCAAGACCCGAUCGGACACCGGAUCCCCGAGGUCGUGAAGAGCAUCAGCCAUGCUCUUCAUCCGCCGGCGGUACUCACCGACGGAGAGGUCCCCCUGGACGAAAGUGCGGAAGGUGGCAUCGAGCUGGAGGGCGCGGUACUCGGCGUUGCCGAGGAACUGCCCCUCGAGCGCCACCCAAGCCUGUCGCGCAGUGCCGCCGUGGGUCCUGACGAGGUCCUGAAGAUCUAGAGAGAUGGUCCCGAAGAUCCAGGACAUGGCGACACUGUCGAGACGCAGCCACGUCACGUCCCGCGCCUCGAGCGGCGAGUCGACGAGGACGUGGUCGUCGAGAGCGUAGCGACGGAGCGUGAGGAGGACCUGGUCCCGCCAGCGGCUGUAGGAGGAGGACGCGGGGUCGAGGAGGACGGAGACCAGGGCCCUGAUGUUCUGGACACCAGCAGCCUGGAGGUGGAGCUGGGCGACCGAGGGGUCGGUCGGAUCGUACCAGGCUCCAGAUCCAGCGGACGGGGCCCGAAAGGAGGAGGAGGUGCCGGGCUCAGGGUCGACAGGCUGGCCGGAGAAGAUGCGGAGGUAGCGCUCCUCCUCGACGACCCGGAGAGCGAGGGAGGCGGCCGUGGCGCGCUCGCGCUCCCAGGCGAGGGCAGCCACACGGACCCGCUCCUGGGCGGCUGAAGCCUCCGACUUGGCGGUGAGGAGGGCCGCGGCGCGAGCGGCGUCGGCCUGCUGUCCUCGGAAGGCGCCGGAGAACGGUGCAUCCUCGGGCACCAUCCCGAGGCCAGACUGAGCGGCACUAGGCGCGGCAUCGAUGACGGGCUGCGUGCCCGCAGCGCCCACGGCCGGCAGCAGCCGCACAGCGGCCCGCAGGGCGACCGGAUCAGCGCCCGCGGCCUGCAGCAGCUGUGCAGCGGCCCGCAGGGCGGCCGGAUCGACGGCGGCGCGCGGCUGGGGUCCCGCAGCCCCGGCGCCCACGUCAGCAGUUGCUGCGGCAGCAGUGGUGGCGGGCUGUAGGGGGCCCAGGGCGCCAGCAGCCUGGAGCAGAGGAGCUCCGGCGCCCACUGCGGCGCCCACGGCGGCGCUCGCCGCGGCACCCGACGGCAGCCCCGGCAGCCCCUGGAGCAGAGGAGGAGCGGCGCUCACGGCGGAAACCGCGGCGGCGCCCGCGGCCGGCCCCCCCGCGUCCUGGAGCAGGGGAGCGGCGGCGCCCGCGGCCAGCCCCCCCGCGGCGGCGCCCGCGGCCGGCCCCCCCGCGUCCUGGAGCAGGGGAGCGGCGGCGCCCGCGGCCGGCCAACCCGCGGCGGCGCCCGCGGCCGGCCCCCCCGCGAGGACCAGCGCGGCGGCGGGGAAACCGGGCGGCGGCAGCCGGGCGCCGGCGGCCCAGGCGCCCACAGCGGCCGGAGCGGGAGCAGAGGAGGGAGAGGAAGAGGAGAGGGGAGGAAAGGAGGAGAGGGCCGGCGGCCGGCGGCCGGCCAUGGUGGCCGGCGGCGGGCAGAAGGAGAGAAGGAGAGCAAGCUAACCUGAUACCAUAUAGAAGAGAUACUUUUUCUAUUCAACACAAACCCUAACAGGGUAUAGUUAUUGUAAUACACAUGGGCCCAAUGGGCCACAAUGCCCCAUGGGCACAAUACACUCCAACACCCAAAAUGGAACAAGAGGACAGCUCGGCUGGAGAGCAACAUACUUGAGAGUGAGAAAGGCAAUAAGCAAGCUGGGUAAUUCUACAACAUUGACAGUGCUAUUUCCCACAUGACUUUCAAUAUAUUACUGAUUUGCACUAGAAGUUUGACAAACCAUACAUUUCUCAAUGAAUUGCAAAUAUGUCUCACUCGAGCCAAGAUAUUGUAUUUCUUAAUCAGUCUGACAUGGUACAACCAAUUGACAAGGUCAUGCAUCAUUAACAGCCCCAUAAUCUCUUUAGACUAAGAAACAGGAAAGAAUCAGGUAUAGUAAAACCCAGUAGCUGCCAUAACCCCCAAAAAAUGCUGAGAAUGGAGCCAAGCGCAAGUUCAUGCCAAAACUCAACAGUCUACUGCAGAUAUGGCAAUGAAUGAUUUAAAAAUAAAAUAAAAUGUUGAAUUGGAGAGAAGUUAUCCCUUCAGUCAAAUUCAAUUCCUAAAUAGCACUCAAUAACGCAGCAAGGUGCAUCAGUUAAACUACAGAAAUUAGCCUAUUCCUUGCGAUUUAUAGGGAACGGCUAACAGAAGGAAAACAAUAUGGUGCUAUGGGGAUGUGCUAUCAUAAAUAUAUUAUCUAGGGAGAAAACACGUAAAAUGGUUCCAUGGUGUAGUGGUUAUCACUCCAGACUUUGAAUCUGGCAACCUGGGUUCGAAUCCCGGUGGGACCUACCCUUUUUACAUCAAAGGAGAAUUUGUGAUAUGCCAUUCAAAAGAUCCAAACUUUUGGAAACCCAAUUAGCUUUUCGUAAAAAGGAGCUCAGAAGAUCCAAACUUUGGAAAAACCAAUUACCUUUUCCAGGUUCACUUUAAGGGCCGUUUGGGAGAGCUUACCCGAACUUCUUGCUUCACCUGUUGUGUGCAAACCGAGGAACUAUAGUGAAGCCGUUUUGUAAGCUCGGGGUAAAAUGAACUAGAAGCCAGGUGAAUCCAGAUUUUUUGGCUUCACUAGUGAAGCCGUUUGGGAGGAACACUCCCAAAUGGCCCAUUAAUACAUUCAGAAAAAUUUCAUCAUUUGCUCCAGCUUGUAAUCCAUUGCAUGCUUAAUGUGCUUGGGAUAGAGAACGUAGUAGGAAAAGAGGGAUGUAGAUCAGCAAAUAUUUGUGGCAUUCUAUCCUACAGCCAGGAUUAAGAUUGAAGUGAUAGGAGUUGUGCACAAAAUGGAACAAGAGGACAGCUCGGCUGGAGAGAAACAACAUACUUGAGAGUGAGAAAGGCAAUAAGCAAGCUGGGUAAUUCUACAAUACUGACUAGUGCUAUUUCCCUCAUGACUUUCACUAUAUUACUGAUUUGCAUUAGAAGUUUGACACACCAUACAUUUCUCAAUGAAUUGCAAGUAUGUCUCACUCAAGCCAAGAUAUUGUAUUUCUUAAUCAGUCUAUUGACAUGGUACAACCAAUUGACAAAGUCAUGCAUCAUUAACAGCUCCAUAAUCUCUUUAGACUCAGAAAUAGGAAAGAAUCGGGUAUGGUAAAACCCAGUAGCUGGCAUAACCAAAAAAAUUGCUGAAAAUGGAGGCAAGCAGAAGUUCAUGCCAAAACUCAACAGUCUACUGCAGACAUGGCAAUGAAUGAUUUAAAAAUAAAAUGAAAUGUUGAAUUGGAGAGAAGUUAUCCCUUCAGUCAAAUUCAUUUCCUAAAUAGUACUCAAUAAAGGAGCAAGGUGCAUCAGUUAAACUACAGAAAUUAGGAAUUCCUUGUUAUUUAUUGGGAACGGCUAACAGAAAAAAGAAAUAUGGUGCUAUGGGGGCAUGCUAAUAUGCUAUCAUAAAUAUAUUGCUUAGGGAGAAGACACAGAAAAUGGUUCCAUGGUGUAGUGGUUAUCACUCCAGACUUUGAAUCUGGCAACCUGGGUUCGAAUCCCGGUGGGACCUACUUUCUUUUGACAAAAAGAAAAUUGGGAUAUGUACUAAGAAGGUCCAACCUUUUGAAAAAUACAAUUAUAUUCCUCUGGUUCACUUCGUUCCAGUACUUAAUCUAUUGCAUAUUUUAUGAGCCCGCGACAGAGAACGCACUAAGAAGAUAGACAUGGUUUAAUGUCCAUGCCCCUUUCAUCCUGCAACUGGCGUUGGGAUCGAUGGGAUAGGAUUGCACACAAAAUGGAAUGGGAAUAGAAAUGACAUACAUGUGACAGAAAGAGGGAGAGAGAAAGUUGGUUGGUUCCUUUUGUUUUCUUCCUCUGAGAAAAUAUCAUCCCAUGAUUUACAGAUGGAUCUAGCAAACUUAGCUAGGGAAGGUAUGGGAGUAACUAAAUGAUAGGUUGAAACUGAGCUAAAUGAGAAACAUUGAAAAUAUUUACAACCCUAGGCACCUAGAUGUUGCUUUGCACCCUGCAACAAGUCUCACAUGGAGAUAAAAGUUGUGGCACACAAUGACAGCAAUAGCAGGCAUGUAACAUAUUGAAUCACCAAUACUAAACAAUGAAAACCUUAAAGAAAUAAAAGGAAUUCCAGGAGCUCAACAGUGAGAAGGCUUGUUUAGUGAUAACUAUUUUAAAAAAGUAUUGAGCAUAUCAAACGCCGGGUAAAGCAUUAAGGAGCAAUAAGUAUUGGGACAUACAACAUAAUGCAUGAUGAAUGCUUCACUAUUUCCAUAUCGACCUUGAACAUGCCCUCCGAAAUCUUGCAAUCAUAAAUAUCAUGAUCCACGUAAGAAGUUAAACCAACCACCCACUAAAUGUAUAAGCACUAAGAACAAAGAAUAGGCCCUCAUAAUAUGUGGUAGAAAAUUUUGACACAGCAAUAGGUAGAUUCAAGAGAGACAAGGUUAAGGGCAGCGUCAAGGAAGAUUGUUGUACAUCACAUCGGCACCAGCCUAAAUCCAUAGGCUAGACAUUUGUGUCAGCAACAAUUGCCUGUGUUUUGCAAAUCAUGUUGCAUAGAACAAUUCUAAUUUUGUUACCCAAGUUAAGAAAUUUUGAAUACAUCCCUGGUAAUUUACAUAGACACGAAAUUCCAAAUUUUCAACACUCUUUAUCGGUACCAUCGAAAAGAUUAGUUAAGAGAAAAGGUAGUUCCCUACAGAUGUAAGGAAGCACCUGCAAAUGAUUAUUCUGGCAGAUAUUGCAUAAAGGUUUGUUCCACAUAUUCUGUUUUAGUAUAUGAGCAAGGUUCAAACAAAAUAAAGGCUCGGCAGUCGACAUAGAGGUGUUGAUGACACGAAAAGGGGCUGCCCUAACAGGUAUACAGGGCAUGCCUAUAGCACAACAGCCAUACUACGAAAUAAGCAUCAGAAAUUACCUAGCAUUUGACGCCAGAUGAACUUAUAAGCUUGGCAGGCGCACAGCAGAAACAGAGCUUGGCAUUUUCCGAAAUCCCGCAAUCUGUGAAAACGACGAAUCCUAUCAAUGAAGAAACCCAGGUAGCACGACUUUAUCAAUCCUGAACCGCAUAACGUUAACAAAAGCGAAACCCUCACAAGCAACGGGUUGGCAGAUCAAACCUUACGCGGCAAGGGGUCGGCGGUCGACCACUGGAGAUGCCAAUUUGGGAGCGCAUCGCCGGUGAGAUCGUCGACGCAGGGUAGGCAACGGGAAGGGCGACCAGAGGCCUCCGUGCGGCGGAGCAUGGCGUGGGCAGGCAGCGAUUAGGUCACCCCACCGCCAACCCCCCCACCCCCCCUCCUUAAAGCGGCGGCGCCAUUGGACGCCGCGGAGAGCGAGGCCGUGAAAGCCACGGCGCUCGCCUUCGUAAGACAGGAGGCGGAAGCGUCAUGGCGGUGACGGGUGGGCGCAGGAGGACGCCGUCGCCCGGCGUAGGGUUUGGACUUUGGAGGAAGCGGCGACGGUACGACCGAGGAAUGAACGACGGAGGAGAGCGGCGGCCGGCGACGAGAGAGCUUCGUGGCCGGCCGUUUCGAUCCGUCUUCCCGUCGGCCCAACAGGCUAAAUUAUUGUGCCGGGCUGGGAUACAGCCCACAGUCAGUAUCGGGCCCGGGCGGGGGAGAUCUGGAAGAGUCGUCCACGCGUGCGGCGGAUGAGAAUGAGAUGGGCUCGCACGGACUCAUCCCAGAUGGUGUCGCGUCGUGUUCGUGUCCCCUCGCCGCAAAGGCUGCGUCGGCCGUCGUGCCUCCCCACCGGGGUGAGCCGAUGACGCACCACGACCUCCUCGCUCGAUCCCCAUCCGCUCGGUCGCACGUGGCAGCUCCCCCGCGACACGCGUCGCGCUCCGGCGCCACGGCAGCGUCGACGAUGAAAACCCCGGCCGCCCAACGCCAGUAUAUUAUAAGCCUCCCGCCGAUCACGCAGCAUGCCCAUCCAUCACCAAGCCGCAAGCCACAGCUAGCGAUCAGCUCACACUACUACGUCCAAUCCUAUACAGCAACCAAGCACUCUCGAGAGGCGCCGCUGCGUCUUCGCCGGCCAGCUCGAUCGCCGCAAUGGCGUCGCAGCAGCAGCCCAGGAAGCAGGCCACCACCAAGGGCCAGGAGGAGGGAGGCCAAGGCCAGGCGAUGAACCUGGAGGAGAUCGGCAAGUACCGCGCCGAGGCGCAGCAGCGGUCGGCGGAGGCCAUCCGCGCCGCCGAGGAGCGCUUCAACAAGGCCAACAACCAGCAGCCGCGCGGGGCCGCCGCCGCGGCCCAGGCGCCCGGCGCCACCGUGGUCUCCUCGUAUCAGGAGACCACGAAGCAGCCUGCAGCGACGCAGCAGGGGGAGAGCCAGGGCCGCGGCACUGAUGCGCAGCAGUGGCUAGCUCAGACCGCGGCCGACGCCAGGGAGAGGUGCAACAAGGCCAUGGGGACGAGCCCGGCCGCCCACGCGCCGGCGGGCGGCGCGGCUCCCCACGACCACGGCAAGGGGGAGCAGGAGGGCGGCUGCCAAGCCCGCGCCCAUCUGACGCGGCAGGAGGAGAUGGGGAGGCCGGACGCGGAGGCCGCGCGCGCCGCGGUGGAGAAGCACGACAGGGGCGGCGCGGCGGCGGGGCAGGGCGUGAAGGACAAGGCCACGCGGGCGGCAGGCGCCACGGCGGACCAUGCCGCGAGGAAGGGCGCUGAGGCCAAGGACGCCGGCGCGCGCGGCGCGCAGGCCGCGGAGGCGAAGACCCAGGAGGCCACAGGGACGGCGGCCGACUACACCAAGCAGGCGGCCGCGAGGGCCAGGGAUGCCACUGCCGGCGCGGCCGGGACGACCGCUGAGUACGCGAAGCAGGCGGCGGCGAAGGCCAGGGACGUGACGCUGGCCACCGGCGAGACGGCCGCGGAGUACGCGAAGCAGGCGGCGGCGAAGGGCAGGGACGCGACGCUGAGCACCGGAGGGACGGCCGCGGAGUACGCGAAGCAGGCGGCGGCUAAGGGGAAGGACGCGACGCUGAGCACCGGCGGGGCAGCGGCCGAGUACGCGAAGCAGGCGGCGGCGAAAGGGAAGGACGUGACGCUGAGCACUGGCGGGACGGCGGCGGAGUACGCCAGGGCCGCGGCCGAGAAGGCGAAGGAGGCGGCGGUGGCGACCGCGCGGACGACGGCCGGGUACACGCAGCAGGCGGCGGCGAAGGCGACGGAGGUGACGGCGGACACCGCGCGCAGGGUGGCGGAGUACGCCAAGGAGAAGGCGGAGCAGGGGAAGGAGCGCGCGGCGCGCGCCGCCGACCAGGCGGAGGAGCCGGGCCACGACGCGGCCGCGGGGGCCGAGGACUCGGCGUCCCAGGCGGCGGACGAGGCCUCCCGCGGCUUGACCGGGCAGCACGAGGACAGGGCCAAGGACACGGCCGGCGACGUGGCGCGCAGGGCAGGCGACACGGUCGUACGGGCCAAGGACACGGCGAAGGACGUGGCCGGAUCCGUGGCGCGGAAAGCGAGCGACACGGCCGGGCGCGCCAAGGACACGGCGGAGGGCGCGGUCGGUGGCGUGGCGCAGAAGUCGAGGGAUACCGCCGCCGAGGCAAGGGAUAGGACGAAGGACACCGCCUCACACGCGGAGGAUAAGGCCGGGGAGGUGAAGGACAGGGCGUCGGGGACCGGCAAGGCCGCCGCCGGCGGCGGCGGUGUCACGACGAAGGCGAAGGUACGCGCGCUCGCCCGUCGUGCUGCCACGUGUGCUUGAAUGCGGUGUCUGUUGACGUGUGUGCGUAGCUGACGGCUCAGCUGUGAAUUGUGAUGCAGGGCGGCGGCGGCGGCGGCGGCGAGGAGGGCGGCGGCACGACGAUAGUGGGCGACGUGCUGGAGGCGGUGGGCGCGACGGUGGUCGGGCUCGCGCAGCACGCCAAGGGGCUCGUCGCUGGCGAGGAGGAGCUCGUCCCGGUCGAAGGCGAGGAGGGGAAGGUCGCCGGGGGAGCCAAGGAAGAGAAGCGCAAAACUGCUUGAUGGAGACGUUUCUUUGAGGAAUGCUUUGAUGGAGAUCUCGGUUUCGCGACACGUUCAGCUACGUGUGUAGUAGAAUAACGUUGCCGGUGUACGUAGGUUGCCAUGUCAAGAGUGUGAUCUUGUGAGUGUAAAAGAUGCUGUGACCGGUGACCCUGUCGACCAGCUCUAGUGUUCUCAAUUGUAUUAGCGUGCCAACAGCCAUGCUGUGGCACGGGACAUAGCUAGUAACCAAAGUUAAUCUUGCGCGCCCUGGAGUUCGUAAAACCUCUCGAGAUGCAUGCAUGUAUGUAUGUAUGUAUGUAUGUAUGUAUGUAUGUAUGUAUGUAUUUUUUUUCUUUUUGAAUGAUGAAAAGGUUCUUCCCGAAUGGAAGAUUGCCCGCGUAUACGUAUAUAUAUGUACACACAACUUUUUAACGGGUCAGGUGGAAGUUUUUAUGGAGUUAAAUUUUAUGUCAUAUCAGCUAAUAUAGCGCAUCAGUUUUACUGAUAUCAGUUUUACUGAUAUAGCGAGGAGAGAAGGCGUGAAUUUUAUGGGAUAUGAGAGAGAAGUUUCAUUACUGAUAUGGUGAGGAGAGAGAAGGAGAGAGAAGGAGCGAAUUUUAUAAGAUGUGAGAGGAGUUUUUAUCAUCAUAAAAUUUAUCUAGUUUAUAAUUAUCUAGUUUUCAGUUUUGAUAACUAUGCAAUAAAAUUAUAUAUUGAGAUUGGUCUUAGGCUCGCUUAUAAAGAUAUAUAUUUACUCAACUUUUUAUCGGAUUGUAAAUCGUAGUAACUUAGUUAGGCUCCGUUUGGAUCAUUUAGAUCAUUUAGUAACUUUAGCCUAAAUAUUAAGUUCUGUUAUUUUAGGUAAAAAUAUAUUUAAAACAUAUAAAUAGAUGAGACUGAAUCUUAGUCCGAUUAAAAUUUAGUCAUUUAUUUGGAUCAUUUAAUGAACUAAAUUUUAGAUCAAAUUUAAUUAUAAAUUUUAAAACUUAGUCCAUGAAUUCAAGCAUGAUAGCGAUUUUACUAUACACCUUUUGCACACAAUCAUAUAAUUUUACUAUACACCUUUUGCACGCAAUCAUAUUUCUUUUGCGAGUAUACAAUUAUAAUUUUGAGAUGACCGUUUUUAGUUUAACCCUAUUUAUCGGGUUGUGAUAAGCUCCAGUGAGCAAUUGUUAUGCAUAGCAGUCAUUAUAGUUUUUAUUUUUAUUUUACAUAGCCUAAUAUUUGAUAUCAAUAAUAUAUUUAGUUUAAUAUUUGCAUAUUUUUUUCUUAAGUACGCAAGCUGUGUUCUUUGUAUUAAGCAGAUAGAUGAAGAAUAACCAAUUUAUCAUAGAUCUUAUACAUAUAUAGAAAUGAAAAAAGUACUACCUAGUACCUUCUCUACUACUAAUAAACAUAACAAAACAAGAUCUUAUACAUCCAAGAUAAAUUAUAUAAAUUCGCAUAACAAAUACAUAUGUAAGCAAACAAACCAUAUGACUUGCGGAACCAAAUAUUUAUGCAUAUAGACCAAUCCAAAUAACACUAUAAAAUAUCUUAUUAAUACUAAAUCAAUAUUACAAUCCAUAUAAAUUGUAAAUUGAGAUUUUAUUUAUAAGAUAAAAUAAUGAAACUCAAAAAUAAUACAAAAACAAAAAAUAUUUUCCUAAGUGCUAAUAUGGAUAAAUAACGAGAUAUAUCACGAUGAUGAUUACAAGCUGAGAAUUAGAAAAAGAAUAAAAACAAAUGAAAAACAAAAUCUACGUGCGAAUAGUUUACUUGGAUCACAUAAAUAUAUAUGCACUUUCGCAGGGAAGUGGAUAAUAUAAAGGAAAAAACACAAUAUAAAUAUAUAGCACUAGCCAAUAAACUUACUAAUUGGUCACGAAGAAACCGAAAGUCAACCUGCCAGCAUGUGGAUGGAGCAUUAAUUUAUUAGUUAAGCAUGUGGAUGGAGCAUUAAUUUAUUAGUUAAGUUUGGCUAAAGAAAUCGUACGUGGGCUAGGCGAAAAGCUAAACUAGCCCAGAAAUCGGCCCAGCACGAGCCCAUACGGAUGGACUUUUUCUCCGAUUUUCAAUAGAAUGGGAGGGAUGGGAGUAUUUCCGGUUUUACCUGCCGCUUGCAAAUUGGCAUGCAGCUAUGUAAGUUUCUGCACCUCUGCUCGUCAGGAGUCCAGGAAUAAUGAACUGGCCUUCAGAGAUCAAGUUGUUGUAGCUUACAGAAUUUUCUGGUUGGACGGUUGGUUGGAUGGCGCCAGCAUCCAGAACUUAGCCCCCAACCUAUCCUGUCUUGUCCCGGCAAGAUUCAGAAACAAGCGCACGGUGGGUCAAGCUCUAGCAAACCAGAGAUGGACAAGAGACAUCACUAGAACGCUUAACGAGUUGGCCCUUUCUGAGUUCGAGCAGCUCUGGGAAUGGUUGCAAGGGGUGCAACUCCAACCAAGAGAGGACAAAUUCAUCUGUCGGUGGACAUCAGAUGGAAUCUACUAAGCUAGCUCUGCAUACAGUGCGUUGCACGCAGGUUCUGUCCAGCUGCCGGGCACCUCUCAUUUGGAAGACUCGAGCGCCUCCGAAGGUCAAGUUCUUCCUUUGGCUUGCUUUCAGGAAGCGACUGUGGACAGCCGACAGGCGCUUGAGGCAUGGGUUACAAGCCCGAGAAACUUGUUGGCUUUGUGACCAAGAACCUGGGACAAGCCAGCACAUCUUGCUAUGCUGUUCCUAGUCUGUUCAGGUCUGGUGGGAGAUUCUACGGCGUUUGGGUUUCCGCAGCAUCAAUUCAUCGCCGCGGCAGUCGCUUCAGGAGUGGUGGUUAUCCCUGUGUAUGCAAUUGCCAAAACCCAAGAGGAAAGGCUUCGACUCCCUCUGUGCUCUAGUCUGCUGGCAGCUCUGGAAGGAGAGCAAUGCUCGGCUUUUCAGAGGCGUAGAGACCCACACCGUCCCUUCUGCUGCGCUCAAUCAAGGCUGAAGGCGACAAUUGGAUACUAGCCGGCUGCGAGCACCUCGUGUUAAAGAGUACAAAGAUCACCAGUUGUUGGUGUCGUGUAGAUGGCCAUAGGAGAUAGCUGUAAUCUGUUGUAAGUUAGCUAGCUUGAAUAUAUAUAUAUAUAUAUAUAUAUAUAUAUAUAUAUAUAUAUAUAUAUCUGUUGUAACAACUCCAUGGCUGUUAUGGUCUUGGUUGUUAUCUCUUGUACAAGGUGCCUAUGUAAGCCACCCGAGAGGCUCUUUCUUAGAUCAUUCAAUCAACACGCAGCUCACCAUAGACCCAAGCUAGGGCUCGGUGUUUCCCAUCUAUUGCGCCUCUGAUUUUACAUGGUAAUCAGAGCCAAACCUUCCUUGAUUUCUGUCGAUCAUGUCUAGCUCAUCCAAUUCCUCCUCCUCCAAUUCUCUCCUCGCCAAUUCUGUCACCGAGAAGCUUACCAAGGCAAAUCAUGCCCUCUGGAAAGCUCAAGUGUGAUCGGCGAUGCGCGGUGCUCGUCUUGAAGGGCAUCUCACCGGCACGACUCUAGCACCUGAGGCGAAGAUCACUUAAGGAAGCCAAGAAGGUUCCCAAUCUAGCGUUUGAAGAAUGGGAUGCUAGGGAUCAACGGAUCCUUAGCUUCCUCUUUGGGUCAAUCACCAGGGAGGUCAUGACUCAAGUCGCCUACAGCCACCAUUGCGGCAGAGGCAUGGAAAGCAAUCGAGGUCAUGUUUGCUUCGCAGACCCGUGCAAGGGCUAUCAAUCUUCGCAUAGCACUGACUACGAUGAAGAAAGGUAACAUGUCCGCUGCUGAUUAUUUUGCUAAGAUGAAGGGCUUUGCAGACCAUAUGGCAGCAACAGGACGUCCUCUUGAUGAUGGUGAACUCAUCGAGCACAUCCUCACGGGCUUGAAUGCAGAAUUCGAGUCCCUGGUUUCGGCCCUUGUCACAAGGGUUGAACCAAUCUCGGUUGAGGAGCUGUACUCUCAACUACUCACCUUCGAGACCAGAAUGGAUCUCAUACAUGGUGGCGACCACAGCUCUGCAAACUGGGCCGGACGUGGAGGACGCACUGGUCGCGGUGCUGGACGUGGUGGUCGCGGCCGGGGCUCUUCUGCUCCUGGUUGUGGUCGCAGGAACAACAACUCCAACACCAACAACUACGCAUACCAGGGAGGCUCCAACAGCAAUCGCCAGUACAACAGCAACAACAAAAAGCCCACCUGUCAGAUGUGCUUCAAGAAGGGCCACACCGCUGCAGAGUGUUGGCACCGCUUUGAAGAGGACUACAUUCCAGAUGAGAAGCAUGUUGCUGCGGCAACAAGCUCACAUGGGGAUCAGAUCCAUACCACGGUGGAGAUCAAAUCCAUACUGCUAGUGGAACAGGUAUGAAUAUUAGUCACAUUGGUUAAUCUACUGUUCAUACCCCAGAUCGCAGCAUUCAUCUCAAUAAUGUUUUUUAUGUUCCUAAAGCAAAGAAAAAUCUUGUAUGUGUUCAUCGCCUUACUACUGACAACUCAAUUUUUUUUAAUUUCACCAUAAUUUCUUUUUGAUCAAGGAUCAGGCCACGAGGAACACUCUUCUUAAGGGAAGUGUCACAGAGGUCUCUAUCCUCUCCCUGCGCCCACAAUAAAGCAAGCCUGUGGUGUCACCAAGUUACCUCUUUCUCGGUGGCAUAGCCGUCUUGGCCAUCCUUCUUCUACAAUUGUUAGACAAGUUGUCAGUAGGAAUAAUCUCCCUUGUUUGGACAUGUCAACCAACGAGUGAAUCUAUGUGUGAUGCUUGCCAACAAGCAAAAAGCCACCAAUUGCCAUAUCCUAAGUCUUUUAGUGAGUCUAAAUUUCUUUUAGAAUUUGUGUUUUCAGAUGUGUGGGGUCCUACACCUGAGUCAGUUGGGAGAAAACAAUAUUAUAUGAGUUUCAUUGAUGAUUAUAGCAAGUUCACUUGGAUCUAUUCGCUAUAAAUAUGAAGUUUUUCAAAAGUUUCAGGAAUUCCGUGCAAUGGUUGAGAAGCAAUUUGAUCGAAAAAUUCUCGCCAUGCAAACAUAUUGGGGAGGGGAAUAUCAAAAACUCCACUUCUUUCUUAUCCAAGUUGGUAUUAUCCAUCAUGUAUCUUGUCCUCAUGCCCAUCAACAAAAUGGAUCUGCAGAACGCAAACAUCGCCAUAUAGUUGAAGUAGGACUGUCCCUUUUAGCACACGCUUCAAUGCCCCUAAAGUAUUGGGAUGAAGCCUUUCUUGCAGCUACAUAUCUUAUCAAUCGUGUGCCAAGCAAAGUCAUUCACAACACUACACCCUUACAACGCCUGUUUAACCAAACCCCUGACUAUGCAGACUAUGCAGCCUUGCGAACUUUUGGUUGUGCCUGCUGGCCACAUCUUCACCCAUAUAACUCUCGAAAACUUGAGUUUCGGUCAAAACUAUGCGUUUUUUCUUGGCUUUAGCGAUAUGCAUAAAGGGUUCAAGUGUUUGGAUGUGUCUUCUGGACGUCUUUAUAUAUCCAGGGUUAUAUUUGAUGAAACUGUCUAUCCCUUCAGCUAACUCCAUUCUAAUGCAGGAGCAAGGCUUCGAUCAGAGAUAGUUCACCUUCCUUUCUUCUAAAUCCUGGUUUUGGGGAAAGAACAGUAGCUGAUCAUGUGUCUAAUAGUUCACCUGAACGAACUGACAGUGUAAAUGAAGAUUGCAGUGAAAAUCAGGAAGAAAUUCGGUGUACAGAUGCAUCAAAUAAGCUACUACGGGAGGAGGCAGGACCAGCACGGCGCACGAGGAGGAGCUGCACAGCACUCCGAGGAACCAGAGGAGCCAAUCUCCUUCGGGAUCCGCACACCAACGUACGGCGCCGGCUGCAGCUGAUGAUCCGCCUCGGUCUCCAUCCACGACUGUCGCGCCACUUCACCAACCACAGGCCGACACGUGCCCAUCUGCGUCGGACCCGGCUGAAGCUGUCGCGACUGGGGGCGACAACUCUGGUCUGGGCACUAGCCCGAGUGCCAUGCGGAUGGACUCAACUGGGCGACAAGAAGAAUCUGUAGAGGAGGAAGCUGCACCGCCUGAUCAAGCUGCUCCACCCGGAUCUUAUAUGGAUUAGCCUGGUGGCUACACACGCUCAAAAACACAGCUACAAAGUGGCAUUCGACGGGAGAAGGUAUAUACGGAUGGUACUGUUAAAUAUGGAUGUUUCUUUUCAUCUGGUGAACCUCAUACUGUUGAAGAAGCACUAACCAGUAAGAUGCUAUGCAAGUUGAGUAUGAUGCACUGAUGAAAAACAAAACUUGGCACUUGGUUCCUCCUCAAAAGGGUUUAAAUAUAAUUGGCUGCAAAUGGGUCUAUAAGGUAAAAAGAAAAUCUGAUGGGAGCUUGGAUAGAUACAAGGCUAGAUUAGUAGCAAAAGGCUUUAAGCAAUGGUACGGUAUAGACUAUGAAGAUACUUUUAGUCCGAUCGUUAAAGCUGCUACCAUUCGAGUUGUUCUUUCCAUUGCUGUUUCUAGAGGAUGGAGCCUGUCGGUGUUUAACCGGCUGCCCACCGAGGGAUAUACCCAAGGUGGUAAGUUUUAGGUGAGGAGACGCCGAGAUCAGGAACUCGAAGGUGCAAAGAACACAAGACUUUAGACAGGUUCGGGCCGCGCGGAGCGUAACACCCUACGUCCUGUAUGGUGGUUUGUAUUCUCUUUGGUGUAGAUUGACCUAAUGAUCUCUUUUUUUGAGGGGGGUCCCUGACCUCCCUUAUAUAUCCGAGAGGUCAGAGUUACAAAGAUGCUAACCAACCCCCACCGAGGGAUCACACCAGAACUGAUCUCGAGUAGAUCCUCUCCGUGUUGGUUAGCUCUAUCUCCUAUUUAAACGGGAUAAAUAAGAGAUAAAUAAAAUGAAUAAGAGAUAAGACGAGCUUAAUCUCUUAAACUUCGUAACGUGCCCAGCCCGGUGGCCCCGGAUCUGACAAGCCCCCGAGCUCUUCGUAGCUGAGUACUGCAAGCUUAUCGAGUACUUUCGAAGCAGUCUUCGACUUCUUCUGAUGAUUCAUCUUGAAGUCCUUCUUCGAGUACUUGUUUGGCUGCAUCAAAGCUAUGAGGUGCUCAUGGCCUGAAUUUUUGUCAUGGCGUGCGAUUUAAAAAUCGCACUCCAUAUGGAGUAGCCCCCGAGCCUUAGAUUGAAUCGGAGAAUCAGGCUGAGGGUCCCACUUGUCUGUAAUCUUCUUUAUCCUUCAAAGAAAUUUGAAAAAUAAGUAGUCGAUGCCACAUAUCCCGCAGCCCCCGAGCCUUGAAUCCAAAUCCAUAAAAUUUGGAGAUAGGGAUCCAACAACCGUGGCAUGCAGGUUAAAAAUGACAACUUGCCAAAAUACCAAAACGAUGGUACAAAUGAUGGGUAUUAGAUGAGUGAUUCGAAAAAACGCUUUUUCGGGCGAACAAACCCUGAAAAAAUGAUUAAUCGAAUAUCCAUUCCAAAUAACCCAUCAAACGACCCCUCAGAUUCGGAAUAUUCUCGGAGGCGACUCUUGAACUUCAGAACAGUAACUUUUCCCCACCCCUCUGGUUAUUUAACCCCGCGAUAACUGUAGGAAAAAACCACGCUUUCAAUCUGCAUUCCAUCAAAAGCCACCAAAUUCCCCAAACCGAGCCAAGCACCGCCGCCUUCCCCCAAGAAAAAUCUCCCGCUCCGACCUCCCCGCCCCUCUCCCCGCAGCCCCCGAGCAUCUCGUGGCCAGCGCAUCGGAGAUGGCGUCCAAGAAAUCAGAGAUCGAGAAAAUGAAGAAGGAUGCGGAGCCAGCGACCGCGGAGUGGACACACAGUAAGUGCUCCCUCAACAAUCUGAAAAAACUUGUUUCCGAGGGGUUGCUGCAAGAGAAAAACCUUGUCAACUGGCGCCCCUCUUUCCGUGAACCGUUCCCCAUGGAGAAUGUCGACGAAAUCGUCACAUUCUACCAUUUUGCCGAACGGGGAUUGGCCCUCCCCACUUGUUCUUUCUUUCGCGGCCUUCUUUAGUACUACGGGCUUGAGCUCCAUCACCUCAACCCGAAUUCCAUUUGCCACAUUUCCAUUUUCAUCCACUUCUGUGAAGCAUUUCUCGGAAUUGAACCCCACUGGGAUCUAUUCCGCUUCCUCUUCCGCGUCAAACCCCAGCCAACCACGAAAAAACUUGCUGUAGUGGGGGGUGCCGGCAUCCAACUGCGACAGCAGGCCGGCGAAAAAUACCUUUCAUAUAAUUCCCCUCCAACCUUCCUGGAUGGAAAAACCUAUGGUUUUACAUCGAAAACCAUGCUCCCCCCCUGCCGACGAAGUCGAGCAGACCGCCAGUGGUGAGGGGGGAAUGGAACCUUGAACCCUCCGGCAUGGAGAUGAUACAGGUCAAAGAGCUGCUGGAGGCCAUCGAGGCGCAGAAGAAGGAGGGAGUGACCGGCGCUUCCGUCAUGUUCUCAUUUUACAAGCGCCGCGUCCAACCCAUCCAACAGCGAUGUUGCCUGGGCUUCGAGUACACCGGCCCCGCUGACCCUUCUCGCAUGUGCACAGAGGAGGUGCCAGACGAAGUCACGCUCCAGCGGGUUCAGCGGGUGCUGCUGGACGUGAACACCGUGCCGUACGUGCCCACCUUAUUCUCCACGCAAAAUCCGCCCCCGCCGGUAAGUAUUCGACUUCUUUCACUGAAGGAAUCGGCUACUGCGCCGGUACUGAACUGAAGAACUCUCUGCAGGGACACUCGGAGCUGUACUGCAGCUACCCGCCGCAGCCGGACCUCCCUCGAGCGUAUCACCUCCUUCCUUCUGCAGCCACGGCGGCCAAGAAGGCUCGCCUUGCUGUGGCUCAAAGCCGCAACGAGUUCGCCGAAGGCGUGGACUCGCGAGCGGGGGGAGAAGCCGAAGGAGGACCACGCCCUGCUGCCGCCGUUGCCACCAAGACGGUUCGCCUUGCUGCAGUUCAAGGCAGCAGCGAGUCCACCGAGUGCGUGGACUCGCAGGCGAGUGAAGGAACCGGAGGGGAACCGCGCCGGGACAACUCCUCCAACCAGAGCGUGGAGUUGGCCGGCGCUCUGCCACCGGUGCCGAAGGGCCAGCGCCAGGUGCGCAAACGCAAGGCCCAAGAAGUCGAGUCCACCAGGUAUGGAGUUGCUGUUUUGGCCAGUUGCAAAGUAUCCAUGAUGCUGAAUGCUGACAGCGUCCCUUUGCAGUAUCCCUGCUCUACCACCCGGUACUGAACCCGAAGGGGUGGAGGCAGGCCCCUCUGCCACCGCGGCGGUGACGAUCGCUGUGGCGUGGACCCCUCCAUCGGCCGACCAGGCCUCGCCAUCAGCAACGAGCAUUCCCCGACGGGCCUGGCGGGUGAAGAAGGCCGCCAAGAAGAAGUCGACGCUGUGAGUUUUCUUUCAAUCGCUUGAAGAUCUUGCUCGUGCCCACUUGGAUAACAAUAUUGUCGAUGUCACCAGGGCUGCAAGCGCAGUGCAACUCCAGCUGGAACCAGGCACGGCUGCGGCGCCUGCCUUGGCUGCUGCAGCCCCCGAGCCCCCGGCGCCUGAGGGGCCAGUACCCGCAGAGGUGGCCCUUGAAGCGGAUGCGGCGCUCCCCGACUUGCCGCCUCCCGAGCCCCGACAAGAGGGAGCCGGACCCGGUGGCAAGGAACAAGUCAUGGCCCCUGGUGCCGCUCCUACCGAUGGCACAGGUAUGCGCUUACCCGCCCACGACUGGCUGCCGGGGUCUGGGCGUAACGUGUUGACCACUUCGUAUGCCUGCAGGUGUCCAGCCGCCGCCGCCCGGGGAUGCCACCGGGCCCUCGGGGAGUCCCCGUGAGGUGUUGAGGGCCGGGUCAGGGCACCAGAACGUCAUCACCACCGACCUGGUGGAUGACCUCCUGCUGUCGGCAGAGAACCUGAAGACUUUCAAGAGCACCUUCAAGGAGCUAUACGACUUCUCCAUGGUAAUACUCGGGUAAUGUUCCUGAUGUGUGCAUUGGUGAGUUGUUUAGGACUCAUUCUCCCCCUUUUGCGCAGCAUGUAAUCACCAAAUCCCAAAAGAAGUCGGAGAAACUCCGCGCAGUCGUGAGCGACGCGCGGGAAGUAGCUGCCCUGGACAAGUGCGUCUCCGAGGAGAUUAUCAAGAAUUGAUAUCUGCAGCGAGAGCUGGACAUGCUGAAGCACGAAAGAACUCGAGAGACGUGGCUGCUCAAGAAUGACCUGAAGAACCUCGAGAAGGCCAACUCUGAGCUCCAGCAGCAGCUCAAGGAGCAACGAGCAGAGUACCAGGAGCAGCUCAAGGCAGAGAAGAAGGCGCACCAAGGUAGGCCCUCGCUCCCCUCGAGUACUUUUCCUCAGUAACUCCCCAUUAGAUGAUGAAGUACCCUUAUCACAGAGCUUAGGAAAAUAACGAAACACAAAGAGGAGUUGCUUACUGACGUGAAGAAUAUGCUGUAUCGACAUACAGAUGAUGUCGAAAGGCUGCAGAAGGUGAUCGGCGAUACUGAACGUCAGUUCGUCGACUGCCUUCAGCAAGUCAAAGUACUGGGCGAGAAGGACGAGCAGCAGCGCAAGGAGCUGGAGGACCUCCGGGGGGCCGCCCAGGAGCUGGUGGACAUGGUGGAUCCGCCAGAAGAAGGCGAUGCAGGCCCGCGGCCCCUGCUGGAGCGACUCCGCGAAGCCCCGAAGAAGAUGCUCAAGUUCUUAUCAGAAGCUCCAAUUGCGUGCGUGAGCAACGCCCUCGCCUAUGUGAAGUCCUUCGUGCCGAACGCGCAGCUGAGCAUCUUUGCGCAAGGGAUGGCGGCGGACUGCACAGACGAGCAGUUCGAAGAGUACUUGCAAGAGGCCCAACCUGUAGCAGAACAAAUUGUACACAAUGUACUGCAGGAUUAGGGUGUAUGAAACACUUAAUUAUUCUCUUAUUGAAAUGCUUCCCUCGACAUCUCUACUUUGUUUGCGUGUCUCGGCUGAAUUGUGAUCCAGGCUUUCGAGACUCAAGUAGUAGACGCGCCCCUGGGUGCAACGACCCGAAGGGCAGCUAGAACUCGUCGAACAGAGGAGCCACAACUCGAUCGAGCAGGUCUAGACUUGUUAGGAAAGAACGCGAGCAUCGUCGCGGGGAUUGCCGUGCAUAGAGCAAAAAAGGGACUACCCCUAGUAGGAUGUCUCGGAGUGUAGUCGAAGAGCGCUCCUUCUGUGAGUAUGCUCCGUAAGCUAGGGAAGACCCGAACGGACGGAUCAAGCUUGCAAGGAGCAGGUGCGGGCAGCGCCGCGAGCUUGCCAUUCUUUUUUGGCAAGAACAAGACUGUUCUGAGUGCAGCCACUCAGGAUGUAGUCGAUGUAGCUCUUUAUGCGAGCCAUUCCAACGUACUAGGUGUAGGCUAGUCGAACGGAUCGACUGUGUUGGAAAGAGUGCGACUGCUAUCGCGUGCGACCAUCGAAGGUCGCGGCAGAACUCGAUAUGCCGAGGAGUUAGCCGGAGCCGAGGGCUCCGCCAGAAACGGAAGUCGAAAGGAGAUGACCGUGGCCGUGGCCCCCGCGUCAUGCGCGACAAGAAGUCGAUUUGUAUGUAUACAUGUUUGCACGUGACACCUGCCAUCGUGGAAGUAAGAAAGCAUGUACAACCCGAGUUAUGUGGCUCACGGCCUCCAAAUUGGUUCGGGGGAAGAAAAUCUUCUGAGCCCCCGGGGAAUUAGCGAUCACCAGGCCUCGACUUAAAGGUAGAACUUGCGCAGGUUCUGAACGUUCCAGGAGUUCGGGACCUCGCGACCCUUGGGGAAUUGUAGUCGAUAAGACCCUGGCCUUGAGACCUGCUUGACGACGAACGGGCCUUCCCACCUUGAAUUGAGCUUGUGUAGGCCAGACUCGUCCUGAAUACGGCGCAAGACCAAAUCGCCGACGCUGAAUGACCGCUCCCUGACGUUGCGAUCAUGGUAUCGCCGGAUCCCCUGCAGGUACCGGGCUGACUGAACAAGGGCGGUACAACGAGCUUCUUCCACGGAAUCGAGCUCUAACUGCCGCGCCUCGUCCGCCUCGCCUUCAUUGUACAUUUCGACCCUUGGAGACUUCCACAUGAUAUCGGCUGGUAGGAUAGCUUCGGAUCCAUACACGAGGAAGAAAGGUGUUUGUCCUGUGGUUUUGGACGGCUGAGUCCGAAGCCCCCAGACGACAUGUGGUAACUCAUGCACCCAUCUGCCUCCCUUCUUGCUGUUCUCAUUAUAGAGUCUCUUCUUGAGGCCGUCAAUGAUCAAGCCGUUCGCCCGUUCGACUUGUCCUUUAGCCCUGGGGUGUGCAACCGAGACAUAUUUGACUUCAAUGCAAGCAUUCUCGCAGAACUCCCAGAACUGGUUCGCCAUGAAGUUUGACCCCAAGUCCGUGAUGAUGGAGUUGGGGAAGCCGAAACGAUGCAGAAUAUCUGAGAUGAAGUCGAUGACCCGAUCUGGUGUGAGCUUGGCUAUCGGCUUGUACUCGAUCCACUUAGUAAACUUGUCGAUAGCCACCAGGACAUGGGUGAAACCGCCUGGUGCCGUCGUGAAGGGCCCGAUCAUGUCAAGACUCCAACAGGCGAAAGGCCAGGAUGGCGGUAUGGUGAUGAGGAUGUGAGCUGGAACAUGCGUCUGCUUGCCGAAGAAUUGACAGUUUUAGCACCUGCGCACGAGAUCCUCCGCGUCGGUCACCGCGGUGGGCCACCAGAAGCCGGCUCUGUAGGCUUUCCCCACCAGCGUUCUUGAAGCCGCAUGGUUGCCGCAGACGCCGUCGUGGAUCUCCCGCAGUAUGUCGUAACCAUCUUUCUUUGUGACGCACUUCAUGAGAACCCCUAACCGAGCGCCUCGCCGAUAGAGCUUGCCGUCGACCAGGACGAAACCUUUGCUUCUUCGCAAGAUGCGAGCUGCGUCAGCGCUCCUGGAGUCGAUUCCCGCUGGCAACCGUUGAUCUCGUAUGAAGUUGAUAAAAGCCCCUCGCCAGUCUUCCUCCAGCACCAUAACCUCUCGAUCGGGUUGUUGGGGACCCGCGUCGAUGGCUACCUGCGGAGAAGACUUGAUGGAUGGCUGGUUGAGCUCCUGGACGAAGACUCCCGGCGGGACCUGGGCACGUGUGGACCCCAGUUUAGACAGGGUGUCCGCGCCAACGUUGUGCUCCCGCAAUACAUGAUGAACCUCCAGGCCGGAGAACUUGCUUUCCAACUUGCGCACUUCCUGCACAUAAGCAUCCAGUGUCUUCUUGUUGCAAUCCCAUUCCUUGUUGACCUGCUGAACAACAAGAAGAGAGUCGCCAUAUACAAGUAGUCGCUUGAUCCCUAGUGAUAUCGCCAAACGAAGCCCGUGAAGCAAAGCUCCAUACUCGGCUUCAUUGUUGGGUACCGCCCACAGGAUCUGAAGGACAUAUUUCAACUGCUCACCUCGUGGAGAAAUAAGCAGAACUCCAGCGCUGCCGCCGUCGAGCUUGAGGGACCCAUCGAAAUACAUGGUCCAAUGCUCUGGCUUGUCCACUGGAGUUGGGACUUGAUUCUCCCUCCAUUCAGCCAUGAAGUCGACUAGAGCCUGUGACUUGAUUGCAGUGCGUGGCUUGAAGUCUAUUGACAAAGCCCCCAGUUCCACUGCCCACUUGGAUAUGCGCCCCGUGGCAUCUUGAUUAUGAAGAAUAUCCGCCAGCGGGAAGUCCGUGAUCACAGUGAUCUUGUACUCGUCGAAGUAAUGGCGCAGCUUUCUGGAUGUGAUUAAGAUAGCAUACAAAAGCUUUUGAACAGCGGGAUACCGUACCUUGGAUUCGGAGAGGACCUCGCUGACGAAGUAGACAGGCCUCUGCACUCCAAAUGCAUGGCCUUCUUCGCCUCGCUCGACUACAAUAGCACUGCUGACGACAUGAGUUGUUGCCGCGAUGUAAAGUAGUAGAUCCUCCCCUGGCAACGGUGCUGUGAGGAUUGGAGGUGACUGCAGAUGAUGUUUCAGAUCUUGCAAAGCUUGCUCAGCCUCCUCCGUCCAUUGAAACUUAUCCUGGUGUUUCAGGAGCUUGAAGAAGGGUAGUCCUCUCUCCUCGAGCCGGGAGAUGAACCUGUUCAGAGCCGCCAUACAACCUGUUAACUUUUGCACGUCUUUGAUUGUGGCCGGAGCCUCCAUAUUAGUGAUGGCCGUGAUCUUCACAGGGUUGGCUUCAAUGCCCUGGUUGCUGACGAUGAACCCGAGAAAUUUCCCUGAAGGUACGCCAAAGACGCACUUGGUGGGAUUGAGUUUCCACCGGAAUCUGCGCAGACUGCUGAAUGUUUCCUCCAAAUCCGCGAUCAAGUUAUCGGAGUCCCUAGUCUUGAUGACCACGUCAUCCACAUAGGCCUCGACAUUCCGAUGCAGCUGAUCCACGAAACACAUCUGGAUCGCACGCUGAUAUGUCUCACCUGCAUUCUUCAACCCGAAGGACAUUGUUCUGUAGGCGUAGGUCCCGUACGGGGUGAUGAAUGCAGUCUUGAUUUGGUCCUCCUCCUUGAGCGCAAUCUGAUGAUACCCUGAGUAACAAUCAAGAAAACAAAGAAGGACACAUCCAGCCGUCGAAUCGACGACUUGGUCAAUGCGCGGCAGCCCAAAAUGAUCUUUUGGGCAAUGCUUGUUGAGAUCAGUGUAGUCGACACACAUUCUCCAUUCAUUGUUCUUUUUCUUUACAAGGACGGGAUUCGCUACCCACUCUGGAUGGAUUACUUCUUUAAUGAAUCCAGCCGCGAGAAGUUUAGCGAUCUCCCAUUUAAUGGCCUCACGCUUGUCGUGGGCAAACCUCCGCAGGUGUUGCUUCUUAGGCGUAGCCUUCGGGUGUACAUUCAAAGCAUGCUCGAUCAACUCCCUGGGCACCCCUGGCAUAUCCGCUGGUUUCCAUGUGAAUAUGUCUCGGUUAGCCCAAAGAAAGCUGACGAGCGCGAGUUCCUAUUUAUCACCCAAGCCCGCACCGAUGAUGGCGGUCUUGGAUGAAUCUCCCUCCUGGAGCUGGAUCGUCUUGAGGGCCACAUCAUCGGUCGACUGGAUGCUCGACUUGUUGGCCUUCUUGGAAGGAAUCUCCAGCCCGGUCUGGGAGAGCUGCUGCGCGGCCGCGAGUACUUCUCCCGAAGCAUCUGGCACGCGAGUAGUCGAAGCGUACUGGAUCGCCUCCUGAUUGCAGUUAUACGACUUCUUCAAGUCGCCGCGGAGGGUGAGUACACCACCAAGUCCUGGCAUCUUAAGAAGCAGAUAGACAUAAUGCGGCACUGCCAUGAACUUGGCAAGUGCCGGUCGACCCAGUAUUGCAUGGUAAGAAGAGUCAAACGUAGCCACUUCGAACUUGAUGAAUUCAGUACGAUAAUUCUCCCGCGUACCGAAGGUGACCGGGAGGACCACCGUACCGAGCGGAUGUGCCGCAUUACCUGGGACGAUGCCGUAGAAAGGGGACUUGCUGGGAACCAGCAUAUCCUUGAAAUCCAGACCCAUCUUCUUCAAAGUGCUGACGAAGAUGAGAUUGAGCCCGCUCCCGCCAUCGAUCAAGACGUUGGUAAGCUUGACCUCCGCCACCACAGGAUCCAGGACCAGGGGAAACUUACCGGGCUCAGAAAAACUCGUCCACUGGUCAUCACGAGAGAACGAGAUGGGGACCUCCGACCAACGGAGUGGUCGUGGUACCGCCGGCUCGAUGGACAUAAUCUCUCGGAGGAGCAGCUUCUGAUCCCGCCUGGAACAGAAAUCCUCAUCCCCCCCCCCCCCGAAGAUGACGUUGACCACCUUCGACGCAUCCUGAAACUUCGGGUUGCGCCCGUGAUCCUCCUGAUCAUCAUCCUCGGGUUCUUUGUCAGCAGGCUUCUUGUUCUUCUUCCCGCCACCGGAGUUGCUGAACGUCCUCCGAAGGUGGUAGCAGUCGAUGGCAGCGUGGUUGGCGCCCGGAUGCCACGGGCACUUCUUCUGCAGGAGCUUCUCGAACUCCUCCUGAGUUGUCGACUUCUUGCCCCGCGAAGGACGAUCGAUAGCCGUGAUGACAUCAUCUGGCUUUCGUUUCCGGGGUGGCCCGGAAAAGUCCCGCUGGCCUUUGUCGCUGCGGUUGUCGUUUGGGCGCCGCAGAUUGCUAUCGUGGCGCCGCAGGAACCGCUCCCGCAUCUUCUCCUCCUGCUCGGACCAAUCGUGCAUCAUAUCACGAAGGCCCGCAACAGUUUUCGGCCUGUUCCGCCCGAAAUCUCUGUAUAUGCUCGGGUCGGUGAUGCCGUUGUAGAAACAGUCGAUGAUGUCCUCCUCCGAGAUGUUCGCGAUGGUGGCGCGGACGUCGAAGAAGCGACACGUGUAGGACCGUAGAAGCUCGUUACGUUCUUGCUUGCACUGGGCAAGAUCGUGUCGCUCCCUGGAAAUUGUCGAUGAAGACCUUCUUAAGUCGUUCCUAGGAGUCGAUGGAGUUGCUGCCGAGGCUCUCCAGCCAAGUGAGCGGCGCAGGGUCCAAAGCCAUCGGGAAGUAGACGACUUUGGUGAUAUUGGAGCCCCCCGCGACCUCAAUGGCCGUGGAGUAGCAGCGGAGCCACUGCUGGGGAGCCUGCUUGCCGUCGUACUUGGUGAUGCCGAUCGGCUUGAAGCCCUCCGGGUACUUGUAGCUGCUGAAACGAGCAGAGAAAGCAGGAAAUCGAUCGCUACAGUCAGUACCUUCAGCUUCGACUUCUUCGCGGGUCUUGCGCCUAGAGGAGAUCACGGUGCGCGCGUCGCGACCGUCAUUGAUGUGCUGGCGCAGGUCCUCCGGAGGAGGUCGUCGACUGGCCUGUCGCAGAUGACCCCCUUGCAGUGGCUGUUGCCUCCCGCCAGGGGCCUGGCUCCCACGCGCGUUAUCGUUGCUGAUCUGGUGUUGAGGAUGACCACCAGCCGUUCGACUGCGGGCCUGGCUUCGGCUCUCGUCCACGCGCUCUUCCCGGAUGACGGACGCCGGAUUAUGUUGAUCCAGCUGGAUCCAAGCCCUCUGCGCAUAGAGGAGUGCUUGACGUACCUCCGGAUCGUGGCUGUGCUCGAGGAUGGCCGUGACCCUGGCGAUGUUGGCCACCGGAGUCCUGAAACCUCGCUCGCUUGCGGCAGCAAACUCAGGGUCGAGCUCGCGAUGCAUAGAUCGCCUUCGCUCGUUGGCUCUCCUCCGCCGGUUUGCGCGGGCCCUAUUCCUGGCCCUCCGCGCCUCACAAUCAGCAUCGUUCUCGUUACCGGCGUUGGCCAUGAUCUCAUCUUCAGAGAUCGCUUCAAAGUUGUCGAUGGGAAAGUGAAGCGCCCCGACCCGAAGAUCAAGGCUAAACCAUGUAUUAGUUACCGAAUAAAGUCUCCGGCAUAAUACAUGUUACAUCAGGUGGAGUCCAGAGUCAUACAGAGCUUUAUUCAGCAAAUACACGAGGGGUAAUGCGACAACAUAGAGCUACACAACUCAAACAUAGGAUAGUGACUAUCAUAACGGCAUGGAGGACUAGCUCUUCAUCCAUCACAACUCCACUUGACCAGCUUGGGUGCGGACACGAUCUACUCACAGUCUUCUGGAACAAAGUCGGGAUCCUCUAGAGAAAAAUCAGCAAGGGUUGAGUACAAAAGUACUCAGCAAGUUCCACCUCACCCUACGGGAGGGGAAUGACAUGCAUGACACACAUUAACUACAAUGCAUAUGCUAUGCAAAUCAUGGUACGCCCUUCUUCCCGACACAACCCACAGUAGGUAGCUCACUAGUUGUUAGGACCACACCGUAGCCUGUCCAUUCCGUGGACACGGACCAUUCGAAUGGAUUCUACACUCUGCAGAGGUCGUACACUGUACCCACAAGCUCGACUGCCCGAACGGACAACCGACAUAGCCGACACCCAGCCGUGGUCACGCCCCAGCCCAGCCGCACAACCCCUCGGGCCCUGACCACAAUGGUCUAUACCCAUGACACAUCCCUGCGACCGUCAGGCUAACCAGUGGGAUUAGGCUAAGUCUGUCCCAUAACAGAACCUGUGGUCGUACUAAAGUAAGCUAGGUGAGAUGUCAAAACAACUCGGUCCUUAUGGUUCGCCAGGGCAGCAGCCAUCCCUCAACACAUUAACUCGAGCCUACCUCCACGGUAGCACUCACCUGCCAGUCUACCACCACGGUAGCGCCGGCUUCCAGCAUACCCAGCUGCCCUAGCCUCAACCAAAACCCUUCAUAUCCUAGUCUCAACUCUAGACAUGCAUAACUACUCACAUGCAUGUAUGAGCACACUCAAUCACUCAAGCACCGGUAUAUGUAAUCGAUCCUAAACCAGAGCUACAACUAGACGUCCUCACAUGGAUGCAACCGCUCACGUAGGGGUCGAUGAAACUUGCCUUCGCUUACGUACGUGUCGUCGGUGGCGGCUUCCUGCUCGCGGUAUGGGUCUUCUGGCUCCCUGGCAGGCUCCUCCUCGGUCACUCCGUGAUCUACGGGCGGAGACGGCACAACCGGCAAACAAACACAAGCAAGCUAUAAAACAAGCUCAAAUGGAAAUGACAAUAGGAAUUGAUAUGAGGGAGAUAUUGGGUUUAUAGUUUUGGUUGGUAAAUAGAAUGAUUUGGGUUAGGUGCUCACGGCCUGGUGGAUGUUUUGGGUCUUUAUUAGUAUUGUGGAGUUAAUGGUCGGGGCUGCCUGCCAUCUCACCUUGGCGUGCAACAGCUCGAGGAAUAGGGUCAACUGUUGGGGCUUCGUCUCGUGAGUGAGCUGGGCUCGUGGGGAGUGGUUAGCGGAGUGAAGCGGCUCGGUGUGCUUGGGCUGGUGAUGGAGUUCGUCACGGCCUUGCUCCUUUUAUAGGCGAGGGGAGUAGCAGCGGCGUCGCACGGGGACGGGCGACGGCGUGGGCUGCGGCAGCUCGCCGUCAGCUCAAACAGUGGCAGCACUGAAGACGCGAGCGUUGAGGUGGCAAAGCGGGCGAGGACGCUGCAGCGGCGUGGGCGAGGUGGGGACGCGGAGGUGGGCGGCACGGUGUGGUGCCGGCGGCAGUGUGCGGUCCCGUCGUGGGGCCACGGAGGUGGGCGGCAUGGCGCGGUGCCGGCGGCAGUGCGCGGUCCCGUCGUGGGGCCGGCGUGUCGCGCGUGCGCGGGCGAGAGCGAGCGUGCGCGGCGGAAAAUAUCUCGGCCGGCACUGUGCAUGACGGUUUAUUCCAAGGUCAAUGGUGUGAGUACUUUGUGGUUUCCAGGGGAUGAUAAAGUUAUUGCGAAGGAAGUAGGCGCUGUUAUGAUUAUCUGAGAAUUAGGGCGUGGUGCGGUGACUUGAGAGGCUUCUGGUUACUUAGUGCACCGGGUCCUUUUGAAUCACAACUUAUAUACUUAAGUACUUAAGUUUAACUAGGAGACUAACGCUUAUAAAAACACUUAUCUUAUUGGAGCGGCAAAGUCCCGAAGGAACACGCGCCUUUGAGUGGCUAGUCCAGCACUAACCCUCCUAGCCCUACCACAACCUAUCUACCUUGCUCAUGGGUGGAUGUCAUGGCAAGGAGGGGGGGCUCUAUUUAUAGGUCAAGGGAAGCCAUGGUAUUAGGACAAGUGUCCUCCUUCUAGAGAAUUCCAAAAUAUCUUAACAUUUUCAAAAUUUUAUUUAUUACUAUUUCUAGAGUCUUCCAUGGAAAAUAUCUCCCCCCUUGCUUAGUGGAGAAGGAUCCUUGAAAAUAUUUUAUUCUUGCUUAGGGGCUAAGGAGUUAGAGAGUUGCCUUGGAAAUAUCUCACUAUUGCUUAGGGGCUAAGGAUCUAGAGAGUUGCCUUGGAAAUAUCUCACUAUUACUUAGUGGCUAAGGAUCUUAGAGAGUUGCCUUGCAUCUUCUUCAAAGUGAUGAAAAUUGGGAUGUUACAAACCUACCCCACUUAGGUUGAAUCUCGUCCUCGAGAUUCGGGUGGGUCCUGAAAAAGGUGGGGAAACUCGGCUCUCAGCGCUUCCUCUCUCUCCCAUGUCGCUUCCGCUUCUGAGUGCCUCCUCCACUGGACUCGGCAAAGCUUGACGGUGGACGUCCUGGUCUUACGAGUCACAGUGUCCAAAAUCUUAACGGGCACCUCUUGAUACCUCAAGUCAUCUUGCAGAUCAAUGGUGUCCUGUACCACUUGUUCUUCUGGCACUCUUAAACAUUUUCUCAGCUGGGACACAUGAAAGACAUUGUGCACAUCUGACAUCUCCUCCGGCAAUUGGAUCUUAUAAGCUAUGGCUCCCACUUUCUUCAAGAUCGGGAAAGGACCGAUAAAUCGUGGGGCCAGCUUCCCGCGCACUUGGAAUCUGCGCGUGCCACGGAUUGAAGAGACUUUAAGGUACACAUGAUCUCCAACCUCAAAGCUGAGCUCACGCCUUCUCUUAUCUGCAUAGCUUUUCUGGCGCGACUGAGCUGCCUUCAAAUUUGCUCUUAUCUCGGCCACUUUGUCUUCUGCUGCUUCAAUAAAAUCCGGUCGCUCCACGAUGCGAUCCCCUACUUCAGACCACAUCAGCGGAGUCCGACACUUCCUUCCAUAGAGGGCUUCGAACAGCGACAUUUUGAGGCUGGUCUGAUAGCUAUUAUUAUAGGAAAACUCGGCAUAUGGCAGACUAUCUUCCCAGUCCUUACCAUAAGUGAGGACACAAGCUCUCAGCAUAUCUUCUAGGAUCUGGUUGAUCCUCUCAGUUUGGCCAUCUGUUUGAGGAUGAUAAGCCGAACUAAAAUCCAACUUAGUGCCGAGUGCUUCAUGCAGACUCCUCCAAAACCUUGAGGUGAACUGGGUCCCUCAAUCUGAGACUAUACGCUUGGGCACUCCAUGUAACUUCACUAUACGGUCGAUGUACAGCUUAGCUAGUUUGUCACCUCCGUAAGUGGUGCGCACAGGUAUGAAGUGGGCAACUUUUGUGAGGCGGUCAACCACUACCCAGACGGAAUCAUUACCACUCUUGGUUCUGGGCAGGCCAAUAAUGAAGUCCAUACCAACUUCAUCCCAUUUCCAAACUGGAAUUGGCAAUAGUUGGAGUAAUCCACUAGGCUUCUGAUGCUCAGCCUUUAUCCGUCGACAUACAUCACAGUAUGCCACAAACUUAGCUAUAUCGCCUUUCAUUCCAUUCCACCAGUACUUUUCCUUAAGGUCCAAGUACAUUUUGGU
rnacentral:lncRNA from 1 species